GGAUCAGACCAGACAAACCUGUGUGCACGUAUACAUAUGUUAAAAGAGGGGGCGAGAGAGAGAGUUGAGACACUUUUAACAUAUGCCACUCUGAUCGUAUGUACAUAACUAUAGGUAAGUAUCUAUGUAUACCUGUGUGCACGUAUACAUAUAUAUAUAUACACACCGAGGGGGAAGGGGGGGGGGGUGCAUGUAUGAGUGAAGGCGGUCCCUCUCCAAGCUCCAGUCUGUACAAAUAGCAGGGGGUCUGUAUACAGGAAAGAAUGAGCAAGCAGCCUGUACUAACGAAGCCGGUCGGGUCCCGAAUGUAUGCACCAGCGGACCAUCUCCCCCUUUCCCUUGCUCCCAGCCGCACGGCAGAGGAGAGAGAGAGAGAGAGAGAAGAAAGCUGAUGGGGCUGGUUUUCAAAGAAGAAGGAAAGAAAGAAGGAAUGAAAGAAGGAAUGAAAGAAGGAAAGAAAGAAAGAAUUCAUAAUAAAGGGGAUUGAUUCACCAGGGGGAGAGAGAGAGAGAGAGAGAGAGAGAGAGAGAGAGAGAGAGAGUAGUAAGNNNNNNNNNNNNNNNNNNNNNNNNNNNNNNNNNNNNNNNNNNNNNNNNNNNNNNNNNNNNNNNNNNNNNNNNNNNNNNNNNNNNNNNNNNNNNNNNNNNNNNNNNNNNNNNNNNNNNNNNNNNNNNNNNNNNNNNNNNNNNNNNNNNNNNNNNNNNNNNNNNNNNNNNNNNNNNNNNNNNNNNNNNNNNNNNNNNNNNNNNNNNNNNNNNNNNNNNNNNNNNNNNNNNNNNNNNNNNNNNNNGGGGUCGUCAAAUCAAGGGUUCGUCAAAUGCCAUAUCUCUCCGCACGAUCGAAGACCAUGAAAUGCAGUGAGCCGUCUCAAGAAAUUAACUGGGAAGGAAGGCAAGAGAAGCACACAGACGGACUCGAAAACAGCACAUAGAAAAGAAACCCAGGCGGGAUUAUAUCUUGCGUGGAGCAUGGAUCCAAAUUUCAUAGGAAUUACAGGUUGGGCGAAAGUCUCUGUCAUCAGGAUCCACCAAGUGUUGCGGCAGAAGUAAGACCCAGUUUAGAUCCGGCUACAUUUAGAUCGAAGUGAAGUUCAUAGAUGAACCAUUUUUCAAGUUUCGAGCAUCACCAUUAACUGGAAAAAUAAACAGAGCAGGGGGGAAAACAACAGAGUCUGGAAGAUACCCUAAGCUGCUGACGGACCACCGAUUUCUCACUCUGGUUUACGUCUCAUAAUUUGAACUAAAAUCGGACACAACAAUGUUAAACCUCUUCUCCUUUCAGCGGUGGGGAAGUCCUCUAAACGUUCAAUUCACAAGAACAGGUCCCCAACACAUCAGCCCAAGAAAACACUUUGCCAACCAUUAAAAUGCCACGGAAAUUGACAGCUCCCGAAAAGCAUAACUGAGCGAUAAACCAAGAAAAGUAGACAAUAUCCAAGAACCUUCUAUCUGCCAUCUACAAUGUCGUUCUGAAAGGUUUGCUUCAAAAAAAUUUCAUACCUUUCAUCAUCAAAAAAUUUGCAGAUAUUGCAGAAGUAUUUAGACAUUGACAAUCCCUCACAAGAGGGUGUCCUGCAGGUCGGCCCAACUGGCUGAACGUUUAAGCAGCGCAUACACAUCAUUUCAGUCGUGGCUUUCCUGUAUCACAAAUAGGAUCAGCAACUGCAACCACUUUCUGGUCAGAACAAAAAACAGAUACGCUACCUGUCCAUAGAAUGAUCGCUGACUUUAUCAUGACAGAAACGGCAAGUGAAUAGCUUAUUGCAACAAGCAGCAACUAGUUUACAAUUUCGUUUGUAAUGUUCACAGCCAAACACUUUCUUCUCUGGAUCUCGAUAUGAGGGAGAGCAUCCAAACAAAGUUCCAUCUUUUCCGUUUUCAACUGAUCUUGUCUGAGGCAACUUUUGCUGAGCUGCUAUCCAUCGGCUACAAUAAAUAAAGUCCAAAUUUAGUUGUACAAACUAUGGAAGACCACUCCGUGUCUCAAAAAAUAAGGAGAAAAAAAUUAAUAUAUAGAACUCAAAUAAGUCAAGACAAAUCAUUUCAUUUUUUACAUAAAAAUACCAUUUUGAAAGUAGCUCAUGCCAUGGAAUCAGUCAGCACGAAAACGAACAGGGAUAUGCAAAACAAAUAUAUAAUUACGCCGAUAGAAAGAAUCACAAAAUAAACCUUGUCAUAAGAUUUUGAAUGAGGUAUGCUUUUCUCCGAGGAUCAAGCGUUGGAUCCUGAGAAACUCUUCGUAUCUCUGACUCAAGUUCACUCUGAUUCAUCCGAAAGAUGUCCUUCCAGCCCGGUUUGAACAUCUCAUCUGUUUGGUCUAGAAUCUCUUGGAUAUCAGCACCUGAACAAUCAAAACGGAAAUUAUUAUUGCAAAAACUGGGCAACACAAAAACCAGCACCUUCAAGUUAUUGGCCAACAAGAUAACUAUACAUUACUAUUUACUCCUACGAUUCCCCCAUUGGUGAGGAAACUAUGAAAGACGUGAAUAAUAGACAUAAUUUCUUUUUAAAAACGAAAACAUAAUGUUAACAGGAAACCUUUCGGGCUUGUGUUACAUUCUGUUGAAACCUGCGAAGGAGAGUCAGGAAUUUCCUUCCACCAUUCAUUAAGCCAUUCAUUGAACAUAGUAUUUUUUGUUGCCUGCCUCCACGUAUCCAUCAUUUUAUUCUGUUCCUCUUGAGUAAGCGCAGAUGUUACCCAUGGCAGCAUUGACUGGAGCACUUCUGCACCUGUUGUCCCAAUUAUGCGACCAACAAUUUUGUUUUGUUCUUCCACAGAAAAAUGCUUAUCAAACAAUGGCCAUAACUCAAGUUCUUCCCUGAAAACAUGCUGAUCCAGUGUGACUCGAAUGGAUUUGCACAUGCCUUGAAGCUUUGUAGCUAGUUCAUUAUGCUUUUGUAUCCAGUCAGUAUCAUCAAGUGAAGAAGAAGAAUGCUUGACACAGGCUCGUUCACUGGAAGUAGACAAGCUUAAGUUUCCAUGAACUUGUGAAAAUUCCGAAAGAACAAUAGAUAUGUCUUCAAAUAGUUUCUCCUCUUGUUUGUGGUCAAGGGUGUACGAGUGGCUCACAUUGUGAAGGGCCUCCUUGGAUUCUAACGCUGGAAAAACAAUAUCAUCUUCAGCAUUACUGUGAGCUCUAUAUAGACCCCGCAGCAGACGAAAUCGUCCACUGAACUGCCGCAGAAAUGUUUCAUCACAACCUAUAAGCUUUCCAGACUCAACAUCCAAAUACUCCAAGUCUUUACGAAUUGCUAUAUGAAACUUGAAGAUGUUGUCAAUAGGCCUCAGUGUCUGCCCAGAGUCAGAUGACAUGAUAUCAGAUUCCCAGAAAAGACUUGAAUUAAAAGAUGGAACCGAGGAAUUGUAAGACAAGGAUCGCAAAGAUUUUCUAGCAGAUAGCGCCGUCAAUGCAGGGUUGUUGUUAUUGACUCCUAGUCCAGGGACACAACAAGACCGUUUCAUGUUCGCUGAGUGCUCAGAUGCACCUGAAUUUUCCCUUGAAUCCAAUAGAUUACAUCGUUUCUUUGGCCUCUCUUCAUUGUCUUUCAUUAGAUAUGAUGAUGAUGCUCCCUUAGUGCUUAAUAGACAAGGACAUGCACAGAAUACUUGGCUACAGUCUUCUUCAAUGUCCUUGGCAGGAGAACAGUCGGCAAUGCUAUUUGAAGACAGGCAAUGGAACCUUCCAGACCCACAAAAAUCACGUUGACGACCUUUGCAUGCCCAACCAGAUAAAAGUGUAACCAGGGGAGUGUCAGAUGCCGAAGCUGCAGAUGAUUUCCACUUGUGAGAUAUCAGCACAAAAAGCAUUAAAAAACUGCUUCAUUCUACAAAUAGGCUAUUUGAAAAGACACACACCUGCCAUCCUCAUAUUCUGAAGAAAGGACUUCCCAUCCUCCACGCUAAGUGAUGCUACCAACCAUGGCAAAACGCGCUCUAAUAAUUUCAAGGGCAUCACGCAUAUACUCUUGUAUAAAAGUUCUCUCUGUUUCUUAGGGCUGAAGUGUAAUCUGGCAAGGGGUAGAACCUACAGAGAGGAAACAAAAAUAAAGGUUCUACUUUCAUUUUUCCAUGGGUAAGAGAAAAGGUCAAUUUAUGAUACGCUUACAUUAGCUUCCUCAUUGCAGAAGUGCUUCUGGAUGGUGUCUAUUAUCUGAUCAGCAUGCAAACACAGUUUCGAAUGGAAUUCCGCAGAAGAUGAGUUUGCACCAUCAUUCUGAAUGGUCUCUAUUACACACCUAAAUUUGUUAAACUGUCUUUCUUCUUCGGCAUGUUCGUGUGCAAAUGAGACCUCCCCAUCCACUGCUGGAAAGAUAACCUGGUCCUCAGCAAUGCUGUAUGUAACACCAUAUGCAGAAGGAAAAUCAAGGAGAUAUAUCAUCAAGUAGAGAAGAUAAACGUUCAAAAUAUGUUAGCUAAACCACAGACUCUGCAACACACAAGAUGUCUGACAUCCACGUUCUCAGAAAACAGAAUAAGACUGGUGUAUUUUGGGGACUUGACAGAAGAUUUGGCAUAAUUAUUGAUAAAAAAAUUAGACAACAAUGUUGCAAAAUAAAUGAUUCUCAAAAAAAAUUUCUCUGGUUUUCUUUUGAUCAAGAUUUUAAAAGAAAAUACGUUUUGAAAUUAAAUAAAUGGAAGAAACUUAUUAAGUAACAGCACGGUCAUACAUACCUAUGAAAGAUGCACACAUCAGCAAUGAAUUGCAGUCUUGCGUUAAAGGCUGAUAGAUCUUUGAAAUCUUGAGAAUGUUCUAUCCUUCUUGCUUCCUUCGCAAUAUCAUCCAACUCCUUUUUAAUAGCACUAUGCCAAUGCAAUAUGUCGUUUAUUGGUUGUGUUCCACUUGUAUCAGCACCACUGCAUUCAGAACAAAAAUGUUUCCUCUUUCCAGCGCGUGAAAAUUCACAGGCACAUGCUUCCUUUUCAAUAUCAUCUGUUUGCCCUCCACAUUCAGAAUCAAUACAGAACAAGUGCAGAGAACUAUCUUCAACGCUUGGAGACCUUGUUGAUGAAUGUUUGCCUUCCAUCCAAGUGAAAAUUACCUUCAUGUUUCAUAAUUUUUCAUCAGCUACUUUUGUUUAUGACAUAAAGCACUUAUCUGAAAUCUUUAGUUCGAAUAAACAAGGAGUACAAAAUGCGAUAUAAAAAGUGUCUUAAACGGAAUUACUAGGAGAUUUCACAUCCAACAAAUUUACACCUGUUGAAGAAGCUUUUCUUCUGGAACUAUCUUUUGCAGACACCUCUGCAUAUCUUCACGUUCUACAGGCGAAAUAGAUGACGAAAGCCACGGGAGAAACUCUGCCAUCAUGUUCACUGGGAUGCUACAUAAGAACUGCCAUACCAAUGCAGCCUGCUCUUCACAUGAAAACUUUUCAACGAGAAGGGGAAAAACCUGUAACAGAAGGUAAAUGAAAAUUAUAAAAACAAAUUAUCAUAAAUGACAAAACAUAUGAAACCAAUUCAUGCUAGGAACUAUGCAAACACUUAUCACCAACGGUUGUAAUAUCAUUAUUUGAAGACGAUAAUUCUGUAUCUUGACCUCUUUUUGAAGUGUAACAAGAAAAUGAAUACGAAAAGAUCAAACAGGCACAGGCAACAGAGGAUAUGACCUCAAGCUAGCUCAUUAAUGAACUAACUCAGCCAACCCACACAUUAACCUUCCUCUAUUGGUGAAGAAAAAGAGAGCUGUACGAGAAAAGUAGGAAUGGUUUAGCCAACCGGGCAUAAAAAAGCAAAUAGAGGUUUUAGAAACAAUUCUAAAAAUGAUCAAGGAAUCAAUCAGGCAUUGACAGAUGCAUAAACAUUUGGGCCGAGUAGGCUUCAUUUUAAAUAGAGCAAGAUCAAGUAAGACAGUAGCAUGCUGAUGUUCCUAUCAUGAAAUAUUGUUGGAGCUGUAGUUGGUGAAUGGGUAGCUUAGAUAUGACGAAGAGGGAUGUGCAAGGAAAAAGUUACCAGUCUUUAAUAGUCAAAAACUAAUUUUUUUUGAAAGGAAUAGUCAAAAACUAAUUAAUAAUAUAACACCAUAAUAAUUACAUCAGAUCCAUUUUGAAUAUUCAUAAAUUCACUUAGUAUCAAAAUUAAAAAAGCAUAACAAAAUAGCCAACAGCGGUUAGCACUUCGCUCUUCGAAAAUUGCGGAAAACAGGAAAAAGGAAACUUGCUAUGAGGAAAACAGCAGGCAGAAAACUCGCCAUAAAUUUCAGAGAAAGGAGCCAACGGCAGUUUCCACUUUUCUCUUCAAAAAUUAUUGGGCGAUAAUGGUGGAAAACGUAAACUCUGGGCAGAAAACUAGUCAUAUGGAGAGAUUGACAGCUAUAAGUUUCAGACACAUGCUUAGUUAUCAUAUUUAAACAAAAAAAUUGCAGAGGGUAAACUUAAUGAUUGCGUGCAGGUCCAACAAAUCCUCUAAGAUACAACGUUAAAAGGAGUUCAGGAAAAAAAUAAAAAGAUGUACAUGGUGUUUGGGAAGCUCAGCACAAGAUCCUUAUAAGAAUGGAUAGUACGUAGAAAACUUCCAUUUUUCUUUGUGACAAGACGGUAUCAAGUACUAAACAUUUCUUACGAAAGAAAGCUGCUUAUAUGCAAUGGAAUGCAUACAUUUAAACCAAAAAACAGUAACAAAUAAACAUUUGGUGCCAAGCGAGAGGAGACCAUUGAUAAAAUCUGUGUGGAUUGUAGGAUCAUCAAUCUGAUGUAGAAAAUUAUUCAUAAUGCAUUUAAAUGUGAAUAUUGGCUGAUAUCCGAUGCAUUGAUAUGCAGAAAGCAAAGUCGGGAUAACCUCCAAUAGAGCUCACUGAAAAGGAUCAAGGAGAGGAAAACCACAUCUUCAUAAUUUACGCCUCUAACCUAUUUGUCACCCUGUGGGAUGAGAUAACUUUUUACUAAGGGUAUUGUUAUGCUGUAUUGUAGAUUUUUAUCUUUACUUUUUUUGACGAGACCCUGGUUUGCUGAAAAUCUGCUUUUGGAGACCGUCUUAUACAUAACAACGGUGCUACUUACGCAGCAAUCUCAAAAGGAAUUUACUGAUUCUUAAGUCUGACAUUUGUUUAGUGGUUUCAGCUGACCAUCCUGUUUUCAUCAGUUAGAUUCAUCUGGAAAUAAAGUAUGGGAAUCUCAAAAGAGAAAUGGACAUGCCACCAGAAAAAUGCCAGAUUUCUAUGUUUUCGGUUAUCUCUCAAAAAUUAUGAAGAAAGUCAGAAGUCAGCAUGAAGACUUCACCUGAAGAUAGAUACUAAACAUAACUUCUAUGCUGCAAAUAAUGAAAUUAAAUCCAUAAGAAACAUGUGUAUAGAUAUCCUUUCAGUUUUGAAUGAAGCAUGCUGUACUUUACAAAUGAAAAACAGCAAAAAGAAUAACCUGCUCUUCUUCCUUUUCCAUAUGCUGGCUAAGUGAUGUAUGGAUGGCACCCGUGCAGGAUGCAAGCUCUCUGCGGAAAAUAUCACCAUUUUCCACAUCUGAAUUGAGCAGUUCAAACAAUUGCUCAAAAAGGUCAUUCUCCCCCUUAUGCUCAAGAGAAUAUGUUCUGGCAACAUUCUUCACACGUAUGUCAAGGGCUGGAAAGAUGACCUGCAAUUUUUGGACACUGGAGUUGUGAGGGUGAACUUUUCUUCUAUAAGAAUACUGUAUUAUAUUAUUGCGAAGCCCCAAAAUCAGCACAGUGAUAUAAUAACACCAUAAAGCUUUAUACAGAAAGGUCAUUUUCCUAUUAUUCAUGGGCCAGGUUAAAAAUACUGCCACUCAAUGUUAAGAAACAUUUUACAAUCCAUAUUCUUUUCUGGAAGCUAAAGAGAAAGGGACGUGAUAAGAGAAGCUUCGACAGAAGAAAACAACAAAAACACGACAGAGAUAAGCAACAUAUCAGAUCUGCCAAGUUGCAACCUUCAAGAGAGACUGGGUAACAAAGGAGAGAAGGGCUUUCCCUAAUUUAACAUCUGAAAAAGCAUUGGCUCUUCAGGAACAAAUAUUCUUGAAAGGGUCUUCAAACACAUCCUUCUCUUCAUGUUGUCCGUAACAUAGCAGGAAGAAGCAGCCAUCAAUCAACCAUUAAUUCAUUUCUGAAUUAAAUCGGAAUGAACUGGCCAUCAUUCCAUCAACCUAUAAAUUCUUUCAUCAUCUAUCCAAGAUUCCUUCAUUCAGGCUAAAUGACAUCAUGAUUUUUUAAAUCCCCAAAACUGACCAUGUGACGUUUCCAGAAAGGCAAUAAGCAUUAUAAAGGUUCCCAGAUAAUGUGUCAAUCCGCCUUCUGACUUUUGGUCCAAUAAUCUUCUAACUUGGCUCAAGGAGGAAGAAGUACAUGUGAGGUCCUCGCAUGUUUAGAACUCGGGAUAAAAACCAUUCAACCAGUCCACAAGUGGAGACGAUUUUCUUUCUCCACCUUUCAUUGAAGGGUGCCUAAUUUCCAUUAGUAGCUUCCAUUGGCUUCUCAGGCUAACAUCUUGCACCUGAUUUUACCCUUCCAUGUUCUGUUCGCAUUCUCAGUUUCAUUCAAGUAAAAGAUAUAAAACAGUUAAUAUCCAGAAACAAGAGAGUGAGAAAAACAAGAGAUAAUCUAUUCUCUACUCAAAGCUACUGAGUCGCAGGAACAAGUUCUUCGGAAUUGAAAGAUGAUACUUCUUCAUCUGUGAGAUUUCUACUUUUUUGAAGGCAAGCUUAGGAAUUUAAUCAGGGGAUCCUGUCAGCACAAGAUUACCCUUUGGUCCCUGUCUUUAUUUUUCGUGAAGGAUAAUGCCAAAUUUGACACAUUCACACAUGUUUGCACCUUCUGUAGAACAACAGCACUAAAAAUCAAAAUAUUAUUAUCAAAUAUAAAAUAUAUUAGGGUAAUGUCUGAAAGGGUCUAUUUACAUUGCAGUAAACUCCGUUCAAUCAAAACAAUAUUGUUCUCUCGAUCAGGGAAUCUAAUAUAGAAGAAAGUGUUAAAAUACAGAAUUCAGGAAUACGAAAGAAUCUGCUAAAUGAAAACUGAAGUUUAAAUCAGCAUCCUGAGAACGAAUUCUCAGCAAACAAAACAAUUAGUAAGAGCGCCCUUAAUUGAUCAGGUUGAAUAAUAAGAGACUGUAUCAUCCCUCUCACUUCAAAGUCUAGUCUGGGAAACUGGGUUCCUCAAAGCUUAAUAUCACCGACACAUAAGGAUCAUUCAACUCACUGAUCAGCAUAAAAAAUGAGAAACAAUUUUCUAUUCUACUUUCUCUUCAAGAACUGCAUGGAAACGCGCUAAAGCUGAAAAAUCUUGCCCACUGAUGCAGAAACAUAACUGAGAAAUCAGCUCCCAAAGAUCUGCAAAAAAAGGCCCCACGUACAGAAGCUACCAAGCGAGAAGAUUUGGGGAGUUGAGCAGAAUAAGCAAUCAAACUAGACAAGCAAUCUUCACUUGCCCGAAAAUCUCCAGGGGAUAAAACAUAUUGACUACAGCUCAAAUUCAACUGGAAGGAAAGAAAGCGAGUCUUUAGGGGCGGAGAGCCAAUAUCAAGGAAACCAAGCCCCAAUUGUCUGUUCCCAAAUCUUGGAAACAGGAAACAACAAAACCAAAAAGAGAGCGAUUUGGAUCGACGAGACCCCUAGAGAGUGGUAACCAAACAGAUAAUCCAGACGCACAUAUAACACAAUCACUGGAAUCAAGCUAUAUUCUCCCGAAUUAUUCCACGACGACGAGACGUACCUCGUCCUCCGCAUUGCAGUGGUGCUUGUAGAUGGCGAGCAGGAACCGACAUCGAUCAGCGACCGCCCGUACGUCCCCUCCUCGGUCGGUAGUGGCCAGGGCGACGGCCGCACGGUGGAGCCGCUCGAGCUCGGACCGGAUGGUCUUCUGGAAGAAGAGGAAUAUCAGGAUCGGCGACUCGACCGCCGACCUCGCCAGGCACUCCCCUGGCGGAGCGGCAGCCACCGGUGAGGGAGGAGGUGAAGAGGCCCCAGACGACGCUGAAGAGGGCUCCACGGAGUCCAGCGGACCCUGCGGCAUCAGCGCGAGCACCCCAUCUCCCGUCAACGGCGUCGCCAUCUCCCCCCGCUAGGCCUCCUUCUCAGGCCUCCUCCCGCCGCCGAGAGCCUCCUCCCCUUCCACCGGCGCUCCGCCCUCCGCCCUGCGCCGCCAGCCAAUGCCGUGGAGCUUCUUCUCCCUCCCCAACUCUCCCUCCUCUCUUCUCCUCUCUCUCUCCGCCCAGUUUUCCUCUAUCCAUCCCCCCCCGCUCCCACCCUCUUUCUCUCUCCUCUGCUCCUCCCCUUGAAGAAUUUCCUCCAUUUUUCAAUUUGUAACGGGCGUUGACGGAAGUACCAGUCACCGCCGGCGGAUACGUGGAAGGAUUGAGACGUGUACACGUCAGCCGGCCCGCUGCUCGGGCCCAUCUCCGGCACGUCCUCCCUCCACGUACCCCACCCCGCCUGCGAAACUAAAAAAAUAUAAAAAAAAUACAGGCAAGCACGAAGCAAGCCGACAACGCCUCCUCGUCCGAGAAGGGUGGUAAAACCGUGGUUAUGGAGCCUCGAGUGGGGCCCACCGCCACACACGGAGGCGGCACGACGGGAGGCGCCCUACCUCGGGCCGGCACGUGGCCGCGCAUUCCCGCACACGCCCGCCCCGAUCUGACGUCGACUUGACGGCGUCCGAGUCAUCGCGACGAACGGUAAGUACGCACUCCCCCGAAGCCGAGCCAUCACUAAACGGCGGCGUUCGGGCCAGGACUGGGCCGGGCCGAGUUCUGGGCCUUGCAAGCGUGUACCCGGUGAGCUAAGAGAGGAGAGAGAGGGUGGAAAUUAUCUUGUUUUGAGCCCGGCCCACUAGCAGGGCUCGGCGUUCGCCUUCUCUUUGAGGAUGGACGUAUAGUCGUAAUCUGAUGACGACCGACCACAGAAGAGAAGGCUGUUGGAGGACGAGUCAGAGAACACGGAGUAGACCCCCCGCCACGUCAUCAUGUCCUACCCGUCUCCCCCGGCCGUGGCCCUCCCCCAGCCACAGCCCAGCUGGCCGGGCUAUCGGUAAUUUAUCCAAGGGAGCGCCGACAUAGCGGGUCCCGUGGGAGAAGGCAUGGUCUUCGCCAGAUGUCAACUCUGGACAGGAGAGUCCGGCGUUGACAAGAAGUGAGGUCCAUGGCCGUUCUUCAACCCCACUGCCCAAAGAGAGGAGUAGAACAGAAAUAGGAUAAUUAAAGUUGUUCAAUGUUCUAAAUAAUUCGUCAAUCUGAAAUCCAGAAUAACCACAAGCAAAAUCGGAUCGCCGGGAUAUGCAUCCUUGACUGAGAUUGGGGGGACUCGGCGGGCUGGAUGGAUCAAAAUAAAGGUGGUUGCAGCAUUGACUACCGCAUCAGCUGUUGUUGACGUCUUUGAUGGAUUCUCUAAUGAAGAGGUACAAACCCAGUAAUAAGAAAUGGUUGACCCAAUUCUACCACGAUCCACACGUUUCAGAGGAAUCGUAAAAGAAAAAAUCAAGUGAGAUUGGCGAGUCUGGACCACCCUAUUUUUGAAAGAAUUUAACAAGUCAAUGAUCUCUCCCUACAUUUAUGGUCAAAUUUUUAAUGAAAUAGAGCAUAUUGGGGCACCCCCUUGUGGAUAUAAGGAGCUAGAUGUAUGAUUCUUGACUCCUACAGCUCAUGGGUCAAUAAUAUUGGACUGAUGAAAGCCUCAGUUUGCAAGGAAUACAACUUGUGAAAAAUAAAAUCCCAGUCCACAAGGGUCAGCACCUACAUAUUUUUGAACUUUUGUUGUUUUGUUUCUAAGUUAAAUAAAAUUUCAUUUGAAAUGAGUUGGAGACGAUGUUGUGGAAUAAUCAUGCAAAACCCAAAAAGUAGAAGACUCCAUUAAUCAGAAAAAAAAAGAUCAUUAAAAGUUCAUAAAUUUCAUCACUCAACUCUCCAAUAAGGUAAUUAGGUGGUGAAAAAUUUUGUACCUCACCUUCUUGAGAAAUGUUGUACAAUGUGUUUCUUAUUUAUCAUGGUUUUGGCCCAAUCCAUCUUAUCAUUCUAGGUGGCUAGCAUAGUGUUGAGUUUGAGAAGGAUGCAAGAUGAGACAAUAGAGAGGAGCAAGAUGAACUAUCAUAGUGUUGACUUUGUCUAUUCUAUAAAUUACUCUUUGAUUGGUCAUUUUAAAUCCAAGUUAUGUUACUUGGACUACUCCUUUCUUUGAGGACCUUGUUCUUGGAUUCUACUAAAUCAAUAUGUUGUAAUCUUUGAUCACAAUGGCUUCAUUCGUCCAAACUACACUAAAUUUUGCCACUCUAGCCAAUCUAAAUGUCUCCUUUAAAAUACUUCUUCCACAUUCACAUCUCUAGGGAACUAAGAAUAUUAUAACCUCUUCAAUGUCACAACACUUGGGUGAUGAAAUAUUAUAAUUACUCAACAACAAGUUAAGAACAACAUCUCUCCCUUGAAAAUAUAAAGAUACACCCCCAAGUUAUGCAAUUGAUCUUCUAGUCAUGUGUGACUUUUCUGAAAAUUAGAAAAAUACUAUGCUUGUACCUUUCUAAUCUCUCGUCACAAGUAUGUCAAUAUAAAUUUGUCAUUGUAUCCUUAUGGUUAUUUUUUCAUCCUCAAAAUUAUACUCUUCAAAAUCCAAUAUGUGGCACACUUCAUUUGAGCUUUUCCUUCAGAGUUCAACAAUCUUUUCCAUAGUGACUUGAGAAGGCUUUGUAAGGUCAAGAAAUAAAAAAAAUAGGGGAGGAAAAUUAAUUUUUUCUGGUAAAUGAUAUAUAAUUUUUAGUUUCCUUAUUAGUUAAUACUAACCAGCUGAAUUAGCCCACUAUGCCAACUUAAAAGUGUAAAAAUAAGAACCAAAGGAUUAUAUUAUUUUGUCACAUCAAGCCUACUCUCCAUACACAUCAUCCUUAGGCUUCACCAACUCUUGGUACUACAAGUUACCAAACACUAAGGUUGACUCAACUAUUGAACAAACAAUUAUUUAGAUCAAUGGCUCUAUGCAAUCAAACUUGAUAGUAUCUAAUACAUCUAUUAUAAUUUGGAAAACUCUUUGUCAGGCCAAGUAUUUAAAUCACUCAAAUAGAAUAUGGAAAUAACUUCUUUGAGCUUGGAGACAUGUGCCUAGAUAUAUAUAAACAUCUUUUUUAGAGCAGUUUUCAAUAUUCAUGACUAAUAUGAGUAAAUUUUCUUUGUAUAGAAUCUAUAAUUAGGUGUUGGAGUGGCUAAUCUUUUUCAUAUGACAACAUUCUCCUCAAGUUGAAUGCUUGGAACAUUUGAAAUUCAACUUCGAAUAGCCAUUUUAAUGGCUAUUUAUGAGCAACACAAUGGCCUGUAAUGUUAUAGAACUUUCAUUUUUCUAUUUUUUUUAAUGUAAUAAUAAGGUUCACUACAUGAGCCUUCUGAACACCAAAAUAACUUGUCUUAAUUCACUUCUUACAAGGAAAUAAAAAAUAAUUUUUUAUAAAAAGUAAAUUAUAAGUACCUUAAAGAAAUUUUUACCAGCAAGAAUUAAAUAUCACCAAUCUAUUAGAGGUAAUGAAAAUGAACUUUUGAUAUAACAUCACCACUAACCUUUAUGUAAUGAAUUGUUCAUAUGAAAGAGACAAGUGACUUCAUACAAGGAUGUGAAGCUACAAACUUUGUAACUGCAAAUCCUAGAUACCCUGAAGAUUUUGUGAAAUGUUAUUCUAAGAUUUUUCCAAUCAAUCAAAUAUCAUAAACACAGAUUGAUAAUAUGAUUUACCAUUAUACCCUAACAUAAUGUCCUAGUCCGUCUAACUAUAAAGUUCUUUUUCACCAAGUCAGUCGACUCAAUCAUAAAUCAACUAAGCCCUCUUGGGGGCUCAUUUAAAAAUGAAAAGGAUAAAUAUUAAUGAUAAUGAUAUUUUCUACAUAAUGAAAUUCUCAAUUAAUGGGGAAAUAUUUCCAAAUCAUUUUCCAAUAAUUGAAUCCAUCAUAAAUGGAAUAUUAUGAUAAAUCAUUUACUUAAAUUUUCUUAAUUGAAUUUACAUCAAGAAAUUUUAUAGAGUUUGCCAAAAAAUUUUCCACUCAAAAUGACCUUACAUUUUAGGUAAGCAUUUAUUUUCAUUCUCAUUGUUGCAUAAUCUAGUUCUUUGAUUUAAUAGAAGUAGAAAAAUUUGAGCUUCUUUACUAGAGUUUUUAUUUGAUUUUGUAAUUCACUAUUAAAUGUGUGUUUUUUUAAUAUAUUUCAUUGUAUCAUUUCUGAAAUAGUUGAUUGAUUCAUCUAUUGAAGAAUAAGAAUUUUCUGGCAAAAGAAAAAUCCAUUUUUCUAGAUAUGUCUAAGAGUAAAUUAAAUUAAAAAAUAUGCUAAAAAUAUCCCUUUUUUUGAACUCACCAUACCACAGAAAAAUUGGAACGUCUAUCCCAUGUUCUAUCAAGGAUAAUUUAAUAACAUAUAUGAGUGUCAACAAUCAAAAACUUUACAUUUUGUUUGAACCGAAGGAAGGAUGGGUACAAAUAACUCUUUAAGUAAGAAUACAAAAUGAAAAAAUUUACAUUCAUAAUAAAUAAAAAUAAAAAUUGAAACAAUCAUUUUUCUAGUCAAUUUUUUUUACUCCAACCAUUUUUCAAGAAUAAGAACAAAAUGAGGGGUAGACACCCUAAGUUAAAGGAUAACAUGUUUGGGGGUAUGAUAUCUAGCAAAAAGAAGAAUUGAAUAGGGAAGCCUUAUUAUUUUUUUUAAUCCCAUUUUUAUCUAUAUUACAUGGUUUGUGUUUUCAUGAUGAAAAAUGAUAAAAAAAUAGAAAAAAUGGUCAUAAAUAUGCUGAAUAAUGACUAGAUGAAUAUCUAAUUGAGAUAUUCAAUGUGUAGGAGUGUGAUAUCCGGCAGAAAGAAGAAUUUAAUAGGGAAGCUUCAAUUUUUGUUAAUUCCAUUUGUACCUAUGUUACACAGGUUUGUGCUUUCAUGAUGAAAAAUAUUAAUAAAAGAGAAAAAAUGGUCAUAAAUAUGCUAUUGCUACACUAAUGUUUAGAUGACUAUCUAAAUUUUGAGAUUCAAUAUGCUCAUUGUUUCUUCAAGAAUAAAUAGAAAAUGAAUAAUCAAGGUAGAGAUCUAAGAUAAUAAAAUUUAAAUCAAAAUAAAAAUAUUUUAGAAAGAAAAAUUAUUCAGUUGCUAUGUAGGUCAACCCAUGGGUUCACCUCGGUAAGUUGACAAAGUGAGUCAAUAUAACUAUCAUAAGAGUCAAACUCAAGGAAAAAUUAACAUGCCAUCCAUAAAAGUUUCUUUAUUUCAGCCAAAAGACAAGGUCAGACUUGGGAGACAAAAGUCAAGAUUAUGUUUAAGACUUCAAACAUCAAACAUCCAAAAUGUAGUUGCAAGUGCUAGAGCAUCUUGACUAUUUACAAUUCAUCCUAACAUAUCAAAGUAUCAAAAUCAGUCAAAUAAUUUCUCAAUUACACGUGUAAAAUGAUUUGGCCUAAACUUAGUCAAUCAAAUGUUUGAAUUAUAGACCUAGGUGAAAGACAAAAGAGAAGUGUGAAUUAGGGUUUUUACUAUUUUUUUUAAUAUUUGAAUUUAAGCUAGACUUAUUGAUAUAUGUCACAAUAUGUCUCUACAAAAAAAUAUAGUGAAAAUUUUUCUCAAAUCUUUUUCAUAAAGAACAUCAAGAUUUUUAUACUGGUUGACACUUCCUUCUAUUAUUUACUAAUUUCCUUCAGAUAAGACAUUGAUAUUCACAAUAUUGAUCACUUAAUGACCUCAAAUUUUAUCUACUCAUAGACUCAAUCCUUUUCAAACCAAACUUGGAUACUAGAAUCUCAUAGCUUCGCACAAAACAUUCUUUCAUCAUCACCCAAAUAUUUUAGAGCUUGAUGUAGAGCUAGAAUGAUGAUGGUGAAGCUACUCAUUAUGUUGAAUUAGUUGGAGAAGAUGACAUAGUGUUCUUGCACAAUGAUGAUUUGUGUGGCAUAAAAAAAUUGAUAUUUAGCCUUGAAUUUUUUUGCAUUCAACUUUAUUUCUAUUUAAAAGAAAUCUCCCAUAAGUAAGUCUUCGUCUUUUACUAAAUUCUUAAUUUAGUAGAUCUUCAAGGUUAAAAAACCUUGAUAAAAAACUUUUUUUUCUAAAACACAUGACAAUAACCUUUGAAAUUUAUAAUCUUCAUAUUUCUCUAUUUUCACAUCUUUUCAUUUAAAUUUUAAUUGUAGUUUCCUAAGUUGGCAAAUAAUGAUUGAAUGUCUAGUAAAGAUCCAAAUCAUUAAAUUUAUUAAGAUUUUUAUCUAAGUAAGUAGUCACCAUAUCACUAUUAAGAUUUUAUAUUUGAUUCACACGAUAUUUUUUACCAUUUAACACUAUUUUUAUUCUUUUAUUUUAAGAUGAUUCUCUAGACGAUAUUCUUUAGUGGUCAAAUCUUCUUAAAAUAAAGAAUCAAAUAAUCUCAAAGAUCAAUGCCUUGGAUUGAUCGUUAGGGAUAAGAUCAUAUAACCAAUGGAAAUAUUUCAUACAAUAACUUUGCUGAAUAUAUUGAAUGUUUGGAACAUAUUUAUGACAUGUGAAUAACUAUCAAUAUUUAAUGAUAAAUUGAUCAAUGUACUUUUAAUUUAUAAUUAUAAACACUAAGGUCAUGAACAUCAGAUAGACUAAGUAUGUAGAAAACUCAACAUAAGGGUUGACCUAUAAAAUAGUUUAAUUUUAGGGUUCUAUAUAUUGCCAUCUCAAGAGCUUUUUAACAAAACUGCAGUGACACAUCAAGUCCAUCUAAUUACAUUCCAGUUGAACAUUCUCUUUCUAGUGCAAAUUUUGCAAUGUCCCAAGCCACCUCAAGUGUCCAAAAUUCAUUGAAUUAGGGAGAUGAUUUAACUAGCUAAAAGAUUGAUUUGUGAACAUCUGAUUCCUUGGAACUGUAUAUUAAAUGAAUAAAAAACCUUGCAUUUAUGUAUCUAGUAUUGGAUUUCUAGUCUUAUGGAUAUAUAAUGCUAUUCUCCUCUUGCAAAGGAAAAUGAAAAACGAGGUUAAGAAUACUUGGUAAGUAGACAUAGGCCAAGGAAAUUUAAACCUCUUUUCUAUAAUAUCUCUAAAGAAUUUGACUACAUGCAAUUGUAUGAAUGAAAUGAGUACAUAUUUGGAGAGUGUGAUAUAAUAAAUUUUGUAAGUUGUGUUUGGGGGGAGUCAUUAUCAAUUUUUUGCCUCUAAAUUGAUGGAUUGAGGCCCAAAAUGUAGUCCACAUAAUCUCUUUUGUACAGGUAGAUGUCUUAGAUACCAUUCUUUUGAUGAGAAACAAAAAAAUCUCAAAUACAUAAUGGGUAUUUAUCAUCAUCAAAAAAGUGGAGGCUCCAAAAAAACUUUUUAAAAAAAGAUGUAAAAAAAAGUUUGAAAAAAAAGAUGUAUUUCAAGGCUAUUAGUUAGGUUCUAAAAAAGUUUCUUUAUUGAAAAUUUCAAGGCUAUUAUUAUUUUUUUUUCUUUAUUGAAAGUUUUAAAGGCUAGUAGACUUUGUCUAUGCUAUUUGAAAGACUUUCUCUUAAAAAAUUUAUGGAACUUUCUAAAUAGGAGAAAAAAUGAUCUUAAAAAUAAAUUUUAAAAAAACAUAGGAAAGUUUAGAGAGAGGUUAAAAUCAAGCUCUAUAUGACUGCAUCAAAUGAUAAACUAAGGGAGACACGUACAUUAGUUUUUCAGCCCUCUUGUAUCACCACACUAUCCAAAAAUACAUUUUUUAGGUUGCACUACUUAUGGAUAUCUUAAUUGGUGUGAACUUGACUUCACUAAAUUCAUGGCUCUAAUAGUCUAAAGAUGCCCCAACACUCACUUCUGCAUUUUCAAGUCAAGCUAGCCAAACAUUAAGGUUCCUUAACUUGACAAAUGUCCAAGAGUCCAUAUGCAGUUGUUAGUAUUUGUAGCCUUGUACCUUUAUGAACUAAAGGAGAACCUGAUUGCAUUCUAAAGUUAUAGAACUUAUGGGAAAUAUAAUUAUUUAAAUUAGAGUUCAAAGUUAUUUUAAAAAUUUUAACACUUUGAAAUAUUGUCAUUGUAAAGUUCAACUCUCAUUACUAAGAUGUAAAAUUAUUAUAAAAAUCUGUUUGAUUGACCUCUUCAAUUGAGCUUUUUUUUGCUUGUUUGCUAACUAAUCCUUCCUUCUCAUCUUUUCCUUCUCCUCCUUCCCAUUUUUCAGGUUCCAAUUCUCUUAUUUGUGUAAAGAUUUCUCUGAUUCAUCCAUUUUAAAUAACCACUAAAGGAAUAUUUCAUUUUAUUUUAAUUCUAACCAUGGUAGAUAAAACACAUAAUUUUUACUUAAUUAAUACAUUCUAGGUGCCUCUUGCUUAGAUUUAAUCUAAUGGAGGUUUUAAAAAAAUAUAAUUUGGUCUUAAUCUUUUGCUGUAAUAUUCUUUUACAAUACUCAGAUAUAUUUUCAAAUUGGUUUCAUAUGAAACAAUGUGGAUGGCAUUAGAGUCUUACAUAAUAUGUUAACACAAUAUUAUUUUUUUAAAGCUAAAAUUAGAAUCCUCAAAUAUGUAGCACAAUAGAAGCUGUGUAAGAGUAGAAAUCAGACCUUGAUCCACAAGGCACGAAAAUAGAAGUUUAACAUUAUAAAAUGAGGGCUUAAAUCAUAAGGAAAAAAAAUUUAAAUCCUUGAAUCCAUGAUGAUCAAUUCAUAUUAUCCAUCAAUUGAAAUGAACUAGAGAAUGUCCUUGAAUCAACAAGUGCUUAUGAAUCUCACUAAUGGAGAAAUUUGUGUUAUUCAUUAUCCCCUAUAGUUACAAAGUGUUAGACUUUAAAUAAUCUAUAAACUAGUUGUGAUAUCUAAGAAAAUUAUAUUAAUUAUGAAAUAAAAUUAAACAUGAAUUAAUAAGAAAUUAGUUACUAAGACUUAAAAUCGAAUGCAUUAUUUGCAAAAUUUUAUGUUUAAUCUGAUUUUGGGUCUUCCCAUUUUUGUAGCUUAUAUUUUCUAUUAUCAGGACUUCUACACCACCAAUAUUAGACAUUUCUUCUUUCGUUGAUUAGUGUUAGACAUCAAUAUGUGACUUCAUGAGUUGACAAAUUUUGUAGUGCAGCAUCUAUCCAUUGAGUUAUUCAACUUUAUAUAAUUGCACCAUAGUGUAAAUUCAAUGUACUAAGGCAUUUUGCUUCACAUACUAUGUUAUCAUUCAAUGUGAUUUCAUAUAUUUAAUUCUUUUUACAUUUAUAUGUACCACUAUUGAGUUCAGCACUAGUAUUCUUUAGAGUGAAUUCUAUAUAAUUUGGUAUUAAAUAUAUUUAUCAUAUUUAAUUUGCAUCUAUUAGCAUAUUAUGUUAGAUGAACUUAUAUGUGAAAUGUAAGCUUAAUAUAUCCUAUUCCUACAUAAUAUAGCUAUUUCCCGUACAACAAAAUAUUACUUUAUACAUCAUGAUAUUUUAUAGUGCAAAUGGUCAUAUAUUAAAACAUAUAUUUCCCAUACACUAAUAUAUUAUGCGACUAUAUGAUACAACUUAUAUACUGAAUAGUCAACUUUGAUGUAUUACCCUAGUGUAUUAACUUUUUUCUUCUUCCAUGUUUGUUAUAUUCGAGUUAUAAAGUAGUUAUAAAUUUCCUAAUUGAGAAUACAUCCCAUUAAAAAUGUCACUUAUUACUUUAAAAUUUUCAGUAUACAUUUUUAAGAAUUAGUAACCACUAAUGCAAUAAAUACUUUCCCAAUCAAGAGAAUGCGCAAUUACUGUUUUUCCAUGAUAAGCUUGUGUCAAGUUCAACACUUGUUAGGGGCUUCAAAACUUAGCAUUUGCCUUCAUUAUUUUUGAAUCUUGUUCGAGUUGAUUUUUUAAGUUGAAUGCUGUCAAUAAAAGAAGUUCCGACGUGGUUAGCCUUUUGGUAUUUUCCUUAAAAUUAGAGGAUAGCCGAAACACUAAGCUUGAAUCUCGAUGAAAAUGGAAAGUAAUCAUGGGUUGGGUGGGGAGAGGGAGUGGGCAUGGUUUUUAAGAGUUCUUUAAACGAGAUGAUCGCAACUUCAAAUGCAUGACACUACGAGAUGGCGUGAUGCCCCUUGGUAGUUUCAUGUUCCAUGUCCAGAACCGCACCGCAUGCAUGAGGUUGGGUAGUGAUCCAUGCAGUCUUGUAGUGUCGCUAUAGCGUGGCAUGCAUGGACAUGGUGGCUCAUGUGCGAGCCUGCACACGGGACGAGCAGACCACACUGCCAAGGCACAAUGAGGAUCAGGAGGCGCUCCUAAAAAUUACACGCAAAGCGGGGCGCGAGCAGCACACACUUGCAUAGUGCGGCACGACGUUCACAUAGAGCUCAAGAAGAGGUGCAAGGGUGUGUGCAAGUAUGUGUAGAACUCAAGAAGAGGGCUCUACCGGCGAAAAAUAAAAGGUUUCAGAAAGUGUGCCGCAAACCCUGGAGGAUGUUGGUGUGAUGUGGCGCGACAGGUGGCAAAACCUUUCACAACGUGGCAGAGACGGCAUGUUAAUCUUGCUGUAUACCCCAUUGUCCAACAAGGUAGGCUGGAACCUCAUGUGUGAGAACCAACCCUCUGCCUAAUAAGGAAGCCACUUAUUUGGUAAGAAAGGGGGAGGGUGCUGGCUGGUAGGGCAAAUCAGGGAAAGCCUUAGGGCAACUCUCACCUAUAAAUGGGGGAUCCCAACCUCUUGGGAGCAGGCCUGCCUCCAACAGUUGUGAACUUGCACUUGAGAAGUGGAAUACCCAUCCCCUUUGUGCAAGCAAAGUUGUUUCAAUACCAGGAGAGGUUGCCUGGUGCACUGGUGAAGGUGGCCAAGGUUGGCAUGAGGCAUAGAUAGCAAGGUACACCACCACCCUAACGUUGCUACAGAUGAUUUUAGGCUGGUUUUUUCAAUUAUAUCCACCAGGGAUACAGGAAUUAUAAUACUUCGUCAUAAUGCUCAACUAGAAAUUUCAUACAGAAAGUAAUUAUACACAAUAUAGAUAUUUGGAUUGUCUUGGUCAAACCAUGGCCUACUGUACUCCAAAGUCAUCCUUAGGCAUCUCAUUGAGUUUCUUCUCAAAAAGCUACACAGUGCGCUCUCAAAGUGCAUAAAAUCAGCAAAAUGGGUGGUUAUGUUUGAAAGUGAUAGGCUCAUGAAAAUUCUAGUUUCACGGUAUGUAAAUUUAAAAUAAUUGCCGCCCAUGUAGAUGAGGUCUACUAGAAAAGAUUGUAAAUCAUUUAAGAAGAGUUGGAAUACUAAAUAAGCAAAAGUGUGUAAAUCAGAUGCCUUGCAUUAAAAGUGAGUCCAGAAAAGUGGUUCAAUAGGUCAAGCAAAAUCGUAUAAUGUUUUUAUAGCAUUCUAAAACAGAGCAGCUCGAGUAGAGUGGAACAAAUGCAUCAUUGUAGCUGAGAAGAAUAAAUAUUGAAUAAAAUUGAGCUAAGGAGAAAAAACAGAGAAUAACUGCAUGCUAAAUCAGUCAUUUUAUCUUAUUUUUUACUUGGUGUGCCCAAAAAUCAUGAUUCUAGCGAAUUGGCACAUGCAAAACUGCAAUGUUAAUUUUGAAAAAAAUUAAUAAGUAAAAAAAAUCGAAAAAGUAAGCAAUUUCUAGUUGCCAAAAAAGAGAAGUUUUGCAAAAAUCUACUUUGGAAUUUUAGACUACAAAGGACCCUUUUAACCCAAUUUCUCAACAUUUGCAACUAUAUUUCUUUGAGGAUCCAAGAAAAUUGAAAGUCUAACCAUUAGUAACUGGUUCUUUACACCUAAAUGAGCUGUGGACUAUUUGCUAAAGGAACUUUCAAAUAAACUUACUCCACAUUUUCUUAAGAAAUUUUAUUUAGAAAGGAGAAACAACUCGUUCUAAUCACUUUUAGAAUCUAGGUUAGAAGACAAGUACAUGUAUGAAAUGAAACAUUGCACAUCUUUGUGCUUCACAUGUUAUUUGAUCUUUCAAAGAAAUUUUAAAUUAUCCUUAAAGGCCUUAAAAUUGGACAUUUUAUUGGUCUUUAGUACUUAUGAAUGAAACUAACAUUCCUUUGAUGAUUGUCACAAAUAAGAAUAUUAUACUGAAUACCUUCUAAAGCUGAGAUUGAGCUUAUAAGGUGUUAAAAGUUUUCCACAUAAUAGUGAAUAAAAAACUACAUAUGACAAAAAUACUAGUAAUAAUUAUAAAUGAAAUGCUCCAUAAAGUAGAUUGCCUUAGACCUUGUGUAUAUUUGGAAAUAUUUGAAUUAAUUGUUUCCAUAAGUUGGCAAUUUAAACCCAUUGAAAUUGGCUAUUUCCAAGUUUAAAAUAUUUAUAAAUUGCAUCAAUCUGGGAAAACUUAUGUGAAUUAGACAUGAUAGUUAAGAAAAAUUCUUAUUUCAUGUAACAUUAUAGCAAAAUAAUUAGUUAUGUGACUUUUUCAGUUACGAGGAAAAUUAUUCGUAGUUCAUCCAAUGAGCAACAAACUAGCCGUUUCUUAUUGAAAAGUCAACUAUUGCAUGACUCACCAAGUCACCUGGUUAUUUGUUAGAGGAACCUUCAAGUAAACUUAGUUUAUAUUUGCUUAAGAAAUUUUGUUUAAAAAUGAGAAACCAACUCGUCAUCUUUCACUUUUAGAAUAUAGGGUAGAAGAAGAGUACAUAGAUUUGAUAAAACAAUUCACAUCUUAGUGCUUCACAUGUUAUUUAAUCUUUUACAGAAAUUUCAGAUUAUCCUUAAGUGCUCUAAAAUAAACAUUUUAUUGAUCUUUAGUGCCUACUAAUGAAACUGACAUACCACUGAGAAAUAAGACUUUUAUACUGACUACCUUGUAAAGCCAAGAUUGAGUUUAUAAGGCGUUAAAGUUCUUCACAUAAGCAAUGAAUACACAAAUUAAUAUGAUUAAAAUACACUUAAUGAUCAUUGGUAAAACUCUCACUAAAGUAGAUGGCCUUAGGAUCUUGUGUAUAUAUUUGACAAUGAUUGAGUUAAUUGUUUCCAUAAGUUGAUAAUUUUAACCUAUCAACAUUGAUUGUUUCAAAGUUUUAAAUAUCUAUAAAUUACACCAAUAUAGGAAAAACAGUUGUGAAUUAGACAUGAUAUAUAAUAAAAGUUCCUAUUUUAUGUAACACUACAGAAAAAUAAUUAGUCAUAUGACCUUUUAAGGUACGAGGAAAAUUAAAAAAGUCGCCAUAAAUUGUCCAAUGAACAACAAACAAGCCGUUUCCUAUUGAAAAGCCAACUACUUGCACAACUCACCAAGUAGCCUCGUUAUUGUUCUUGUGUAUUUCGAAUAGACCAGCUCAGAAAGAUGAUCCUUGAGAAUUCUUUUUCAGCAAAGGGAAAGCAAAAAGUAUGCUAACUUUUUUGUUUUUUUUUUUGGGCGAACCACUUCUUUUCCCCCUUCAUACUCUUCAAGCUGUCAAAGACUGGAUGGAGGGACUGGAACUCACCUCCCCUCCUGGAGUGGAAGCUCAAGUCCUCUGUUCGCACUAAUAAUAUCCAGAUAAGAGGUAAGUAGAGCUGAUGUGUGAACCAACCAACCCUGCCUCCCACCCUUUUGAGAGACACCAUUCCCAACAAGGAAUUAUUUUUCCUAUGCUGAAGCAAAGAGGGCCACGCCCAAUGAUGAAUGUGGAUGAAAGCCAUUUCCAACCCUCACAAAGCAGGGGGCGAUAUAAAUAAACGCGCCCCAAAAAUGGUGUACUCUGCAGUGAGAAUGGGAGAAGCCACCAAGCAAAACAGAAUGCUAUAGAGCCCAGCCAACCAUACAUGGGAAAUUAAGUACCAAGAUUCAUCUGCAUGAGGAGGAGAAUGCCGACCACAGAACGCAGGCAGCACUGACAUCAAACUCGUUCAGCCAUGCAAGAACACACCCAAAAGCAUGAGCUGUAACAAAAGUAAGGGCAACCGGUGCACUGUGAGUGUGCAUGCGAUUUGGAACACUAGCUAGCUGCCCUGGUUAUGCCACACAAGCAACUGAUAAUGGGCUCAGGCAGAGAUAUGGUGUUUCUCUGGGAGGCUGCUUAUUUGAAGAGAGAAGCUCCUAGGUUAGAGAGAGAAAGAGAGAGAGGGCAGCAGUACCUAUUUUCAGCCCCAUCCGCCGCCGGCUCCCACGCCCCCCCCCCCCCCCUCCAGAGGCUCGAGACGGGUCAGGGACACAAAACAAGAGAGAGAAAAGAAAAUGGUUGCAGCAGAAAAGCUCCUCCCGGAGGAGAGAACGUCACCUUAAGACGACAUGAAUCUUACUUACAAAGGAGCAGAAGCAGGGGAUAGAUGACUCUGAGCGAGCUUCCCCCGCAGUCGCUCCAUGAACUGAGGAUUGGCUCUGAGCCUGUCCUUGACGUACGCGGUUCGGGUCUCCUCGACCAAAUUGUCAGCUUUGUGGGCAUCAUCAAUCAGGGCAUAGAGGGUCCUCAGACAAUCCUUCCUAUUCUCCUCCCGGUGGUCGAACCUUAAGAAGAGGCCCGUGAAAAAUAANNNNNNNNNNNNNNNNNNNNNNNNNNNNNNNNNNNNNNNNNNNNNNNNNNNNNNNNNNNNNNNNNNNNNNNNNNNNNNNNNNNNNNNNNNNNNNNNNNNNNNNNNNNNNNNNNNNNNNNNNNNNNNNNNNNNNNNNNNNNNNNNNNNNNNNNNNNNNNNNNNNNNNNNNNNNNNNNNNNNNNNNNNNNNNNNNNNNNNNNNNNNNNNNNNNNNNNNNNNNNNNNNNNNNNNNNNNNNNNNNNNNNNNNNNNNNNNNNNNNNNNNNNNNNNNNNNNNNNNNNNNNNNNNNNNNNNNNNNNNNNNNNNNNNNNNNNNNNNNNNNNNNNNNNNNNNNNNNNNNNNNNNNNNNNNNNNNNNNNNNNNNNNNNNNNNNNNNNNNNNNNNNNNNNNNNNNNNNNNNNNNNNNNNNNNNNNNNNNNNNNNNNNNNNNNNNNNNNNNNNNNNNNNNNNNNNNNNNNNNNNNNNNNNNNNNNNNNNNNNNNNNNNNNNNNNNNNNNNNNNNNNNGUUCGAAUUGAAUACGAGAGAGGAUUACUAUAAUUUAAAACCACUGUUUGAAAUUUCAGCAACGUUCAGAAAUUUCAGCCGUUUCAUCGCAUCUAACUAAUAGCAUGAGUAGAAAACCCUCAACCAGUAAAAAUCCAUAUCAUAUUCUUCAUAAUCAAAGAAAUUGGACCAGAGAAAUAAGAACAAGGGCAGAAAUUUGUGCAUCUUGAAGCAGCAAAAUAGCAUAUGCUUGAACAGGAAUCAAAAGAUAACGAGUUCCAAUUUUAGCAGUCAAAUGAAGCAGUGCAAUGUCAAGUAAAUAGACAAGAGUUAGUUGCUGUACCUCUCACUGAUGAGAACAAGCUCAUCUCUACCUGGAUGAUAUCUCUUUCCAACAAUUUCUCUCAGUCGUCGGAAAGCAUGUCUUGAAAGGCCCAGUUCUUUCACAGUCACUGAAAGUUUGACCUUUCUGUUUUUUGGAUGCCACGAAUCUCCACCAGGUGCAAAGACUGCGCGUGUUUCCCAUUUCAGAAUAGGUCCCUCCCCGGGUGGGUUACUAAAGUCUUCUUUCGUUACUCCGUCAGAAAUAUUUUCUUCCACAGCGGACUCAUCUGCUAGCAUCAUCUCUGAACAUUCCAGAACCACCUUGUCCUCAAAUUCUUUAAAGAGCUCAUAUGCCUCUUCAGGCUGCAGUUCUCCUCUUUCGCACAUGUCCCCCAGUUCAUGAAACCUUGCCUCAAUCUUCUGUUUUGUCUCAUCUAACAUGAAAUCAGCCAAAACUAUUCAGUGAAUGAUCUCCAAAUGAAAAUCAUUCAUAAACAAGAAAAAAAAUACAAGUCCAGAGAUCAUUUUUAGUCAAAUGUACUGCAUUAGAUUGACAAACAACAUCAAACCAACUAGUCCACCAUUUUAGAGCACAACUAUACAACAUAAGACUUACAAACUUCUACAUGUAUACAAUAACUGCAUUAACGUCUGUGAAGUUUAAAGCCAUGAAUAAAAUCUAGACUUCUCAUUGUUGUCGCUUGAAAAAGUUUUGGCUAUGAGAGUUAACCGUGAGAUGCUUGUAAGCUGUUUCGCAAGAGUUCCAAUGAAAAUUAUCGUGUCCCUCAUGCCUUUGGUUUUCCUUAUUCGGGGCCUGCAUGUGUCAUAUCUAACUGAAAAUCUUGUUUAGAACUGUAUCAACUCUCUGUCAAUCAUCAAAAAAAAAGUAAAAUGCACCAAUAGUUUUUCUUAACAACCUAUCGAAACCCUAAAACACUAGUGAUCCAACCACAACUUUACCUGAAGAAAUUUUCUCACGCUUGUUUUAAGUACAAUCGUUUUAAAAUGGACAUAUCUAAGAACUGCGGCAAUCAAAGAGUCGACAGAUAGGUUAUAACCCACUAGUACUUUCAAAUAUUGCAUUAUGCAGUUUCAAAGGAGACGUGCCACAACCAUAUGCCAAUAUCAAGUGAAAAGCUACAUUGUACUGCAGCGAGAAAAAACCAAAUUCCUGUAAAAUUUAGGAAAUAUUCAAUCAUUGCUUCUGGAGAGUAUAUAAGUGAUUUCUUUUACCUAAUGAAGGUAUUCAAUAUUUACCCCAUGAUGGUAUAUUCGUCAUUACAGUGUUUUCCCCUCAUCUCCAGUGCUCUCCAUUCCCUCUCUUCUUUCUUCGCUCUUCAAUUUCCUCUUCGCAUCUACCAAGGUGACCGAUGAAUAAGAGGAAUAAACAAUAAAAAGUAUUUGAAUCAUGGAUCAUCUCCGAUUUCCAUUGCUCCAAACCGACCCACUGGAUACAUACUAUAAGGCCACAAUGAACGUGUCCUCAAUUUCGCUGAAAUUUAGUAGGAAUUUCCUAACGUUUCUUCUCCUACAUGUAACCCAUAGAACAGCUGUCAACAGCACCUUCUAUCAAUCAAUACCACAGUCAGUUUGUUCCAGAGACUAUGACAUAAAGAAUACUAACUUUUUCGAACGUAAUAUUUGAGUAAUUCUCAACUUUACAACGAAUUGCGUACAUUAAACAGCACAGUAAUACGUCUCCUAGAUAAACGAAAAAUAGUCUCUUUUCAUAUUUCUAUGUUUGAUAUUAAGCUUGAAGAUUUGGAUUCUGUCACACAAAGCCAGCCACAUGCUAGCCAACUUGUAAAAAAUAUUUCUUACUUUUGAAGGAAGAAAUUUUAUUCUUCCAAACCACUUUUUACCACCAAACUCUACAUCCUCUGUCGCCAUAAGUUUUCAAAGGAAUAGAUAGUGAAUAAAUCACUAUCCAUCUCUGUUAUUAAAAAUUGAACAAAUACCUUUCAUUGUUCCGGUCACUAUAAUCCAUCUGGUUAGACAAUGGUAUUUACCCCGCUCCAAAAAGAACUGGCUUCGAAGGAAUUCAAUUUUUUUCUGGUCAAAUUUCUGUCUUGAAGAUGAGCGUCAUAAACAUGACCAGAGUAGACAGAACAGAAUUUGGGAAAUAAUCCAUCUUGCACCGGCAGAAAGUAGUUCCACCCUUCCAAUCUAGAAUCAGAGUACUAAAUCAAUUGCGUUCACUCCUAUAUUCCAAUUCUGGACAAGAACAAUGGGAGACCAACAUACUGAAAUGAGAAUUCAGCAACCAUACAGGCCAAUGAUUAAAUAUUUUGUCAUUCUUGUCUCCUAAAUUCUACUUAGAAUAAUUAAUAUGUUGAUGAGAUUUAUGCAGUCAACUCACCCUUCCAAGCAAUAUAAGGGGCUUCAUUAAUAUUUCAGUUUACUGUACACAAAUAAGUUCUAUCAUCAGCAAUUUUGAUACGCACGAAAGAUAUGCAACAGGAACCUACCAGGGUUCUGUCAACUAACCCCCGCAUUCCAGUCUUGUGACUUUUAUGGUCCCAUGAAAAGGAAAAGAUGCUGGGACAGGACUCGAUUGGCCUAAGCCUCCUGAAGUCUUAAGAUAUACAUUCAGUUCAUAAUUCAGGGUGGACAGCAAAUGUUGCCGUUGAGGUGCAAUUUAUCAUUCAAUUAUGCAUUCUUUCUUUAAUCUCGUAAAUAUGAUGUUCUGUUUAAGCAACACCAACUUCUUCUGUAUGAGCUUUUCCAAUACCUGGUUUUACUACAAUGCAAAAUUUGUUUUCCUUGAGAUUUUUCUCAGGAUAAAUUGUUCCUUACGAUGCAAUAAAUUGUCUAAUAUAUGCCUUUGAUCUUCAGUAACAAACCGAUGGGCCACAAUAAUGCUCCGAAGUCCACAUUUAAAACCUUCUGCCUUUCUCUGAUUCCUGUAUUAUUUCAGCAUUUAAUUACUUCUCCCCAGGAGUAACCAGGAGAAAUACCAACACAGAUCUGAUAGCAAGCUAAUCUAGAAUUACCUCACUACAAAUAACUUCGUCCAAUUGGACAAGCUCAAGAUGCAAAGCUAAAGAGACAAGCCCGAAAAAGUGUCAUGGUGGUAUUCUAUGCACGAUAGAGUAGCGUUUGGACUUUAAAAAGCAGCAACUUCUGGUUUCCAUCCUUAUAAAGAAAAAGUGCACCCUAACAUAAAGAAAUGUUUCUUAUUGAAGAAUUCCCAUCAUAAAACGUUACUGCCAUUAUGAUUAUGGUCCAUUCCGAAGUUCUCUGAAACAAUUCUCCCAUACCUUUAAUAGCGAUCCAUCAAGAGUAUACUUAACCAUACAAACGAACUCCUGAAACAGUUUUUCUUUGAUUACCCACCCCCUGCCCUUGACUGAUAUCGACUUCUCAGGGGUUUGACUUUAAACUCUGGGAACCAGUAUGUUUAAUCCCUAAUAACAUAUAAAAUGGUAAAAUAAUUUAAAAUCGCUUAGUAAGAUGAAAAUUAAUGCGCCUCAGUUAAAUUUGAAUCCCUUCAAUUGAUUCAUCUAGAAAUCUUGUUCAGCUGGCAUAGAAGAAUGGAUAAUAGAUCCACAACUGCUGUUUCAUCAAUAAGUGGAUAGGAAUAUAAUGCUUUUAAGUGCCACUGCAUGUCUGAAAGCAAAUGAAAAUCCAUCUUCCACUUAACACAGUCCAGUCGAGUUAAGAUGACUCACACUAGCUUGGUCAUAUUACUUUGACUCCUGCAACACUUUUACCAUACAAAAAUUGGAUAGAUGGUCAAGUAAGUAACCCAGUGAAUCUCUCCAGCAAUACUAGAGGCUAGACCCCCAGCAUGGUUGGUCCCACCUGAUUGUCCCCACACACUAUGACUGGAUAACACGAGUCAGUCAACCUCAGAAAGAGACAAUGUUAAGACUAAUUACAUAACUAUCGGCUUAAAAGCUUGCUGCAGGCUCCAAACAUUAGCAAAGUUCCACCCAGCAUGUUAAGUAGUAGUCCAUGGGAAAAUCGUCAUCACUGGGAAGCACAUUUGAGGUCAUAUCCAGUUUCACAUCUAAAUACACAUUAUCUCAUCGGUAAAGAAUCUCGAAGAUGCUAUUAAGCAAGCCCUCGGAGCCAAUGUUCUCUUGUUUGUAGAAAAUUAUGAUUCGUUGAUGUUCUUUAUAAGCUUUGAAUUCACAAUAGCAUCAAUCAAGGAAAUCAAACCAACAGAACCCCAAUCAGAGCAAGGUCACACUGGAGACCAAGCACAUGAUGCUCCCACAAUCACCUAACAAAUGAAAUCACCAGGGUUGCAAUCCUUCACAAUCUCAGUUGCCUCCAUAUUCUGACUCUGCAAGAUGCCAGUGCCUGAGAUUGAUGCACUUUCUCUAGGAAGGAUCAAGAAACUGGCUUUUGGAACCAAACUUAACCGGCCCUAGACAACACCAACACAGCAUUCCUGGUUCCGAUUUUCAAACAUAAUAAUGAAAAAGGAGCAUAUUACACCAGAAACAUCCUGAAUUUACAACAAUAAAACAUCACGUAGAUUAUCAAGGAACCGUAUCAUCCAAAGUUAUUAUUUUUUAAGACUUUUCCCCAUGCUUAUAUUCAUUAAAACCUAACACAACUAUUUAAUUUCACAACAAGUAGCCAACCGACUAGAGGCAUGAACUGCAUGCUGAUUUCUUCUUCAAAACCCUUCUCAUGAAUCUAAGAGCACAGUUAUGUCUGGCUUCAUAUGUUUCAAGGUAAAGUCAUUCUACGAAACAACCCAAGGGCCAUUGUAGAAUGUCAAGUUGAACGCAGAGCAUUUUCCAGAGAGGAACCGACAACUUAACUUGAAGAGUCAUCUAAGUCAAUUGGAACAACACAUUGUCAUGAUCAACUCACUAGCGGACCGAGUUCAACCACAGUAACUAUCUCAUCCAUGCACGUUCGUUAGUUACGUUGAACAUGCGUCUCUAUCAGCAGCCUACAUAGGAUACGAAGGGCACCAUCUUUAAACUUUCCUGAGCAUGCAAUUUAUCACCUGCCAGAGAACAGGUGGCCCAGGUAUUCCAUUAGAAAAUUCUCCAACCUAACAUUCCACUGUCCUGGAAAAAAAAGGUCUGUUGCUCUAAGGACAGUUUCCAUCGCUUCAAAUUUGUCAAAACUUGAUUCAAAGACUUAUCCGCAUGGUCUAUAACACCACUCUUAAUGGAAAACAAAUCACCAAAAUUCCGGUUACUAACAAUCUUAUGUUUGUAUGUCAGGUAGUGCGCUAUCAUUAACAAUCAUUCAAACCAAUAUUUCAAUGGAAUCGAGGAGAAAAAGAAAAUUCAAGCAAAUAGCACAACAUAUGGAUUAAGCAUGAAAAGAGAGAGAGAGAGAGAGAGAAACGCGCAAGUGUAUGUCAUCAGACUCUUAUAAAAGGCGUCUUUACAAUAUUUUAAAAGACUGUGCUAAGACAGGAUAGAUCAGCUAGAGCCCUAACCCUCUCACUCGUUAUAAAUCCGUUACCCUACGCCCCUGGCUGUAGAGCACAUGGACAUGAACCCACUUGAUAAACAUUCAAAGAUCUGGCUGUCCACAAAGCUGAUCAGGGGGCUGUGAGCCUGAAUAACGAAUGGAAAUAUAUAUUCUUUCAUGAUAGACAAUUGUUCAAGAAAUCUUGAUCGAACAGUGGAAAUCAAACACUGCGGAAAUAGAUGCUAAAAGCAUAUAUUUUAGCCACGGAAGGCAAUUCAAAAAGCAGCGGCUUCAUAUGAAAUACAAAAUCUUGACCUUCGUAACCUUCCUGUUCAAUUGAGCUACCAAUAUCAAAAGCUAAUAACAGGGACCGGUGAUACUCACCAGGGAGAAGGUUAUCCCACUUGAGCAUAUCCUCAAGGAUGCGCUCACACUCGCUGGUGUCCUUGACAAAUCCCUUCUCAAUGGCCUCCUGCACCAUCCCAUCCCACUUGCGCUCGUCCAUGUUGAAGUACUCGUCCUUCACCAUCUUCUGCUCCACAUGGUUCCGAGCAUUGUACAGGUCGGGGAUGUCCUCGUCCGUUGAGUACAGCUCGUCAAAAUCCUCCUCGAAUUCACGGUCCUUUACGUCCUGCAGCGGCUUCAUCCGCAGCUCCUCCAUCAGCUCGUCGUCCGUCUCCUCGUGCUUCCCCGUCAGCUUUCGCCUCACGAUCGCCUCCAUAAUCGACGGCAGCGCCUCCUCGUCGCCCUUGAAAUAUUUUUCAAUCCGCCUCUUGAGCUCUGGAGACGGGAUCGAAAGAUUAAAACAAUUCAAAGCAAUCGAAGCCCUAGAUCGGGAUGAAACGCGGGUCAGCGAGGGGCGGCACCCGCGUUGGUGACAUCCUCGACCACGGCGGAGGAGGAGGAAGCCUCGAUGAUGUCGCCGGAACCAGAAGAGGCGGCAGCAGAGAUGUCGGCGGCGGGGAGCGCCGUAGGGGCUUUGUCCUCGUCAUUGCCGUCGGAAGAAGAAGAGAAGAAUCUGAAAUGGGGCAGGGACGAGAAGCGGGGGGAGGCACAUUCCGAUAGAGCUCGGCGGGCGGGGAUGGGAGAGACACGGUGGAGAUGGGAACAAACGGGGAUGUAGCGGCGACCAUGGCCUUGCUGGAGGAGGCGGAGGAGAGCUCUCAUUGCGGUCAAGUCCUGCUGAGGUUUAGGGUUCUGUGAGAUGCGGAGAGAGAGAGGUGGGGGGGGGAGAGCGGGCGGCUUGGCACGUUUAAUGGCCAGUGACGGAGAAGCCCAGGAGGCACGAAGUGGGUACACUCGACUUUUACCUACGCGAAACCUUAAAAAAAAAACUGCACCGUCCUCUAGAACAGCAGAUUCAAUCUAGGUCAUGAUCUAGCUUAAUGCUCGUCCAGAACAGGGCACAUACGCCAAGGCGGUGGGAGCAGUAGCCGGCCAUCAAGCUGCGACCAGUCCGCUGCUGUGUGAUGGUGGAAUUAUCUUCUAUAUCUGACAAUAUUUUGGCUCCCCGAUGGAUCGUAUUCACGGCAAAUCGCUGGAAGAUUUCCGCAGCUCCAUCGAUCUAUCAUCACAGUGACGAGGUCUCAUGAUAAAAGUCUUUGCAAUGCCCCCAAGAAACGGUUCAUCGCCUCCCCCGUCAAGCUCCGAUUCUCUAGGGUGUUCAUGCCGGGCCGGUGCAGUCCAGUUGCAGGCGGGCAGCCUGCUCACGUCCCGCUACGGAGGAAGGAGAGAGAGAGAGAGUAAAGAGAUUCGUCCAAUGGUGAGUUCCUUUUUUCACUGUGCGGAACUGCACUGUAGCCACCUGCAACACGGGUAGAAGGAUGAAUCUGGGGGGAGGUGUUCAGCCCGUGCAGUGGGUCUGUCUUCUUCGCGCCACCGUCCCUUCUGCUCCAUGCGAGGUUUGGGGGUCAACCUGUCACAUUUUCCUCGGCAAGGUAUUGUCCAUGGCGGUCUCAAAACACGUGCUUGGCAAGUCUAGAGAGAGGUUUAGACAAAUCUCCUCAGCCCAAGAGGUCAGCAGAGACCGAGAGCGAGAGGGAGAGAGAGAGAGAGAGAGAGAUUUGUGUGGUCGCCACCAGGCCAACGUCUGUCCAAACACCCGGUGGAUAGCCUUCGGACAGCUUGCCGGGGACCCUCUGGCGAAAGGGAGAGCCCCCCUCCACCGUGUUUCUCUCUCUCUCUCUCUCUCUCUCGCUAUCUGUCUUACUCUCUCUCUUCUGUCUCCGUUUUAAAGAUGGCUGGGAGGGACUUGUGGUUCGAUAUCCUCUGCCGCUCUGGUCCUCCCCUUACUCCUGGCGACUGCGGGGAGGCUCUCCAGGCUGCAGGUCCGUUGCUGCUGCCCCCUCUGAAACUGCUCCCGCUUUAGAUUCGUCAUGGAGGGGCUGGGGUUCGUCGUCCCCUGAAUGAGCUGCUCGGAGNNNNNNNNNNNNNNNNNNNNNNNNNNNNNNNNNNNNNNNNNNNNNNNNNNNNNNNNNNNNNNNNNNNNNNNNNNNNNNNNNNNNNNNNNNNNNNNNNNNNNNNNNNNNNNNNNNNNNNNNNNNNNNNNNNNNNNNNNNNNNNNNNNNNNNNNNNNNNNNNNNNNNNNNNNNNNNNNNNNNNNNNNNNNNNNNNNNNNNNNNNNNNNNNNNNNNNNNNNNNNNNNNNNNNNNNNNNNNNNNNNNNNNNNNNNNNNNNNNNNNNNNNNNNNNNNNNNNNNNNNNNNNNNNNNNNNNNNNNNNNNNNNNNNNNNNNNNNNNNNNNNNNNNNNNNNNNNNNNNNNNNNNNNNNNNNNNNNNNNNNNNNNNNNNNNNNNNNNNNNNNNNNNNNNNNNNNNNNNNNNNNNNNNNNNNNNNNNNNNNNNNNNNNNNNNNNNNNNNNNNNNNNNNNNNNNNNNNNNNNNNNNNNNNNNNNNNNNNNNNNNNNNNNNNNNNNNNNNNNNNNNNNNNNNNNNNNNNNNNNNNNNNNNNNNNNNAGAGAGAGAGGAGGGGGUGCGGGGGAGACAGACGAUGAGUGAGAUGAUGGAGACGACGAAAUCGGAGCACUUCGACGGCAUCGGCUCCGUCACGGCUGCCAUCAGCCUCUUCGGAGAGAGGAUUCAUGGCGGAAAACCGCUCGCUACCAAGCAGAGGCCCUUGUUUCCUGAUGUAUGCAUCUUCAUCUUCAUCGUCUUCUUCCUCCCUCCCUCUCUCUCUCUCCGUGUGUGUAUUCAAUGGGCGAAACUGAUUAGGUGUUUGCGAUGUGUCCUCUGAAGGAAUCGCCGCCAUCGAAGACCAGAGAGCUUCUUCAUCUGGUGCGGAGGGACGCCGGCAGACUCGGCGAGCAGCUGAGGUUCUCAGAGCGCGAGAAAUCUGUGGCGGAGUCGGAAUUGGCCAGCAGCAAGGAGACCAUGAACGAGUUGAGAACGCUGCUCGAAAAUUCUAGCAGGAAGGUGAGAAGCGCCCGUCGGAUGUUGGCGAAGCCCACCGGAGAUGGAAGCAUGGCCGGCGGCGGUGACGGCGGCGGCGAGUACGAUGAACUGGUAAAGCGGUUGGAGCGGAUGAAGAAGGAGAGGAGCAAGGUGAGGCUCGACAUAGCCCGCGCCGGCGAAGAUACGGUGAAGGCGGAGGAGGAGGCGGAAGCGGCGGUGCUCCGGUCGGCGUCUUGCCUGAACUCGAUCGAGGAACUGAGGAAGGAGGUGGACGCCAUGAACGAGGAGCACGUCCUCGUCGAGAUCGCCAGGCUGCAGGCCGUCGAAGAAACCAGGGAGAUCGAAGCGAGCAGAGCGGCCGAGGCGGCUCAAUUUGCCAAGAAGAUCCAGGAAAUCAGAGAUCGGAUGAAGGGGAUGAGGAGAGAAAUCGAUCUCGCCGCCUCGCAGAGCCAGAUGGCGAUGGUGAGAGAGGCGGCGAGGGAUUCCGGGGGCGGCGGCUCCCCUGCAACGGAGGUGGAGAAGAGGAGGCGGAAAUCGGAGCUCGAGAGGGAGUUACAGGUGGCUAGGCAGGAACUGGCCUCCAUCAAGGACGAGGGGUUCCAGCUGAUGGCCUCCAUGGACAUGGUGAGGCUGGAGUUGGUGCAAAUAUCCAGGGAGACGAGCCGGCUGAAGAAGCUCGAGGAGAAGCGAGAUUCAGCCCUGCAGAAUCUCAAUUCCAAGCUCCUCAGGGCGAAAUCGAAGCUGGAGACGGCCGCGGCGUCCGAGGGGAAGUCGAGAUCAAUUGUGGUCAACCUCUCGGCGGCUCUGCAACAGCUCAGAACGGAGGCGCAGGCGGCGAGGAAGGAGAAGGAUCGGGCCGAGGAAGAAAUCGAAUCGACGAAGACGAAGAUCCAGUCGGCCGAAGCAGCGAUGGAAUCCGCCGAGCAGCGGCUCGAGGACGCCAUUGACGCGCUCAAGAGCGCCAAGGCCUCCGAAGCUUCCUCCCUGGGGAGGCUCAAGCACCUCUCGGAGAGGACGGUGAAGUUCAGGGCCUGCUCGGCCCCGCGCAGCUCCACCAUCACCAUGUCCGCCUUCGAGUACGAGUAUCUCAAGGGGCAGGCAGAGGGGGCUCAGAAGAUCGCGGAGAAGAAGGUGGCCGCUGCUCGGGCCUGGAUCGAGGCGUUCAAGGCCAGCGAGGAGGAGAUCCUGCUGAAGAUCGACAGGGCAAGGAGGGAGAUGGGGGAGCUCGAGGCCGCCGAAAACAGGGAGAGGGACAGGAUGGAGGAGACCCUCCAGGGAGAGCUUUCAAGUUACAGGCGGGAGGAGGAGGAGAGGAAGGAGCAGGAGAUGGCCGUGGCGGCGGCGGCGGAGCUGCUGCAGGUGGCCGCCGUCCAGAGGAAAUCCCUGAGAGAGAUCGGGAACCAGGCGGCGCUGCGGAGGUCCAGGACGGCUCGAAGGUCGUCCCUGUCGCAUGGCGCCCGCCAGUUCCCCCAGUCGCCCUCCGUCGCGCUGAAGAAGAAGAAGGUCAUGCCCGGCCUGGUGAAGCUUCUCCGCGGCAGGAAACCAGGCAAGCACAAGUGACUCUCUCUCUCUCUGCCCCCUCCCUCCGGCUCGUUGGUGGUAGAGCCGAACAUGGAUCAGAGAGAUGACUUGCAGAGGCGAAGGCCCCUUUUCGAGGUUUUGACUUUGCUGCAGCCGACGUGAAAAAAGUGUUCUUGAUUGGUUGACUUGGAAAAAGUCUUACCCUAGAUGGUUUUUUGGUCAACCGAUUUCUAGAGCCGAGGAAAUCCGACGACGGGCAUUGAAUGCCGAGCGCAGAGUGAUGCCCCCUUUCCCGCUCGGUGUUGAGAACUGGCGGGGGCGGCGUUGUGGGCGAGGACAUUUGUCCAAUGUUGCUAAAAUGUUGGGUUUCUGGCAAUUUGAGAACUUGUAAGGGGGCGGGGCGUAACAAAACGGCCUGACGAUUUUGAGGCCUCUGUAACGGAAGGAUUUCGUUCAGCGUCUUGUGAGGAUUUUUUGGGCGGCAGAUCCAAGCCGUCCGUUUUCAUCGAUCUGGAAUCACCGACUCGACUUGUGGAGGGCAAGAGGAACGCGUGGAGGGUUGAGAAGGCGGGGUGUUUGUGGGCCCCUACUUCAGUAUAACCCGCACGUGCGCUGCGGACGGUGGCUUCCGCUGCUCCGCUCGUCUACUCUGCAUAACGUAAUCCAGCUUCUCGGACCUCUCGGCGCGCGCGUUCUCAGAUCUGCAUCUCUCUCUCUCUGUGUAUCUGGCUCCCUGGCCCGCACUCGGAAAUUUGCCAUGAGCCGGUUGCCAGGGUAGACGAUCCCGAUCGGCGGAGAUGGAGGGUCUGCGGCGCAACCGUCGGCGCCGUCGUCGAGAGGGAUGGACGUGGAGAAGUCGUCGAUGUGCAACUUCGUCGUGGAUUUCCUGCUACGGGAGAAUUACCUGCUCACGGCAUUCGAGCUGCUCCACGAACUCGUCGAGGACGGCCGGGACGACCAGGCCAUCCGCCUUCGCGAGUUCUUCUCCGAUACUUCUAUCUUUCCCCCCGACCAGAUUGGGCGUUUCAGUGCUCUCAGAGGUCCGUACUGCCCCCUGUUUCACACCUCCUAGUGGUAUCUGCAUUCUGAUUAUUUCAUAGGAUAGUGUGCAAUGUUUAAUUUUUUUUACCAACGGGCACCGUCUCUGGCCCUGAACGAAUCGCGCAGUAUAGCUAAUUGGACGUAAAUUUAGAUGUUAGUCGCUGAAAUCUUAUUACCGAAUUCGCAUACUGUUCAGAUCAUGCACCCGCAACUUAGAUCCUAUUUGGAUAGCUCCGUCAUUUAAACAUUCCUAUGUGGAAUGUAUCGUUUUUGUUGAGGUCAAAAGUUCAAGUAAUGUGCUUUAGAAAACCCUGGUAAUGAUAUCGCAGCUGGGACCUUGCUUGAUGUGUAAAAUGAUUUUUUAAAAUUUUCGUGUUUAUUUGUGUUCUCUAUCUUAUCUUACAUGAAGAAUUUGUCCCGCUUAUGGGUUUUGAAUGCUAUUUGGGGAACCCAGGUUUUCACUCCCAAAGGAGUGGAAAACAAACGAGGGUGGAUCUGUUUCAUAGGCUAACUUGGUUAUUUGGCAUAGAAAUUUGCAGAAAUUUUUUUUUAUUCGUGAUCUCAGCUUGUCCUAGAUGGAAGAUAUCCUAUCUUUUGAGAUCUAUCUUUGCCGAUUUUUUUUAUUGAUUAUCGAUUUUCAUUUCCAGUAAAUCAUGUUGGCCCUGGAAAAUAUAUGUUCACCCGUGCUGUUACUAUUAUAUUUUCCGCUGGUUGUGUCGAUUUUAUUUUGCACUCUGUUAAAUGAAAUAAGAUCUGUGCAUAUUUUGUUAACGAGGCUACAAAUCUAGCCGGCAAACUAACAAUUUUCUGAUCAUCAUGCUAUUAAAACUUAAAAGAUGCUGGUUUGUUUAACCUUGAGAUCCUCUAAAUAUUGAAGGAAAAGUUGGUAUUCAUCAUGGAGUCUUUCGAUUAUAAUAUUCCUUGAACGCUUGUUCUUACAUCAGAUUAUUCACAGUUAAAGAGAACAUGCAGAGCAUUAUCUUUUCUUAUGCAUGUGGGUGGCACGUUUAUGCUUGUUGCCAGAGAAACACCAUCUUCAGAGUUAAGGCAUUUGGAUGAAAAAUAUAUUUUUUUAAUUCCUUUGUAACGGUAGCAAUGUCUUGGUUUUAUGAUCCCUUCCAACCUUGCCUCUGAUUUAUUCCCUUUUACGGAUUAGGGAGAUCUUCUGAUUAAGGACGAGAUCGUUGGGCAUGGGGAGUGGAAUGGGAAUGUGAUUUGAUAAAUGGAAAAGGAGAUUGAUUCUGCGUCUCUGAUUUUAAAUGGACUUUCCCAUUUUGGCUGAACUGGGGAAAAUGCAAAAUAAAAAUAAUUAUAUGCCAGAGCAGAAACAGCUGUAGUCAGUUGGUCUUAGUCUUCUCUGGUUGUUCUCGUCUGCGGAUAGAAGUAAAUACCAAACUCAAAAAGAUAAAGGGGAUAUGAUAACGUUAAUUUUCCAUAAUCCAAGACAUGUCUCCAUCGUUGUAAUUUUUCCUGAUCUGUUGUUUUUCGUUCAUUUUCUAGCGACACAUUGCUGUUAGAUGGUUCUGAAUAUGAUUCCAGAAAGUAAUUCUAUCGCUGAUCUUGUUGUUUUGUUCUUUCUGAACAAAAAAUAAAUCCCAUUGCAUUUUUUUCAUUGCUGCAAUUUGUUUCGACAAGAUAUGUUGGAUGAAGAAUCUUGUCACAACUGGUUUCUUCCAUUCUCAGUUGCAGACCCACAAAGUUUGCUAGAAGAGAAAGAAUUGCUACAGGAGAAAUUGGCAAUUAGUGAGUAUGAGCUGCGGCUGUCUCAAGAAGAUCUUAUGAAGUUAAAAGAUGAAUUGCAAAGGAAAUCUGAACUUCAUCCUGAUGGCUCUGAUGGUUAGUUCCUGGGUUCCAUUUUCAUGUCUGACAAAUGAUAUAGAUUUCUACGUUUAUUUAGUUACUUUUGAAAAUGAUUAUUCAUUAUAUUUAUCAUCAGUUUCCUUUAUUUAAUGGAAUCCAAUUCAUCUUUUCUUUCGGUGCAAAGUUCAUCUCAUCAGUUUUCAAGAAAACUUUAUCCUUCCACUUCAGUUAUUUCUCAUUUAGAUUUUUUUUAUACUGUGGCGUAUCUGGCAAACAGUGCGUCAAACACUAUUUCCGUACGACUGUUUCUUGGACCUUGUAUAUCCUUAAUAAUUUUUGGUAUCUAACUAAACUAUUCUACAAUGAAACAGAGAAAGUGAGAGAACUGACCAUGAAUUUUCUUUCUUGAAGUUCUCCUUUUAGAUAAUCAGUCUUUUUGAUCUAAAAGAGAGGCUGAGCAGUAAAAACUCAAAAUUAAGUAUGCAAUACUUCACCAUUGCUUAUGAUUGUUGGAGGCUUACCGUUACAUGAUUUGUGAAAAAGGCAAUGGUGAGCUUUCGAACUACUUCUGGCUGUCGUUUUGUACUUUUCUUCUGCCUAAUGAUACCGCCAAUUGGACCUGAUGAAAAAAUUAAGAUUAAAUGAGAAAUACGUUGGAAAUUUAUUCUGUGCUCUCAGAUCUAACAUGGGGCGGAUUUCAUCUGAUGCACUGAAUGCUCAAUGACAAUCGACUGUAUUUUGCCAAUUUCCAUGUCAACCUUUGUAACUCAUAUAAAUUUAAAACUAGAAAGAGAAUCAAUGAUUAUUAUGGUUUGAAUCUUUGAUAUAAAAUUUAAUUUUCUCCCAUUUUUUAAAUUCUUUCAUCUCACAAAAACUGUGUGAUCUGAAAAUGGCUUUUCUCCCUUGAAGAAGAAUGUGCUCACCAUCAUAAGUGGCUGGGCUUUAAAUUUAUAUAUACUAAUAAUCAGUCAAUGCCUAUCAAAAUCUUCAGUGAUCUGUGACUGAAAAUCUUGGAGAGCAGCUGUCUCCCUGGCCCCUUGCUAAGGUAUUCUGGUGGUCACUUACUAGCAAAAAAUUAUCUUCUGUUCGCCAUAAAAUGUCACAAAACUUUGGGCAACCCUGGCACACUGGUGUUUGCUUCCUUCUGGACCAGGGUCCCAACUUAUAGGAAUGUGUUGGGGCCGAAACUCUUGGGCCCAGUAAGGAGGACGGUAUAAGGUCCCUGAGGGGACCUGACUGCGGGGACUUUUGAAAGAAGUUGUUGGGAGAGUGGGGCACUCUUGAAUCGUCACCAAACAGUUAUAGGUUUCAUCUGGUAACCCCUUUUCUGUUCCUUUCCCUUUUCUAUCUCGGUGGAGCUAUUUCCUUCAUUUCUUUCGGUUAUUCUCCCUUGUUUCUACUCAAGUAUCUACCCUUGUUUUGAUCCCUGUUUUAGGACCCUAUCAGAAUGGUACACGAAACUCACUAUGAAUUGCUGGUAGCCACAUCCUUCGAAGAUUCAAAGCCACGGAAUUCUCAAAGGGGUAUCCCUUUACUGACCCACCCAUCCGUGUUUGACAUUAUCCACUAAGACGUCUUGGAUCUUCAUGCACGAGAGAUAUGUGCACCUUGUUCAUGAGAGUGAGAGAUAUGUGCACUUCGUGUGCACAUAGAUAUGGUCCCUUCAUGCCAGUUGAUUGGUUGAACUCAGGGAUCUGUGCAUUGAGUCCGAAGUUUAUUUGAACCUGUAUGAAUCUUGUCACAGUCAGUAGGACCAGCUGAACUAAAUGAAGUCUCUUUAAUGUCAUUUAUUUAACCAUCUCAGCUUUGCUCAGAAACUCCCAAAAAAUGACUAUCCAAGACCCUGUGACACAUGAAGGGUGUCACCAUGCCUAUGGGAGCCCAAUGUGCUAAAUCAUAAAGUUAAGAAAAAUUUUAACGACUGAUUCCAGUUUUCUUUGCGUCAUUAAAUAUAGGGAAAUAACCCAAGAGUGAGUUACAUCAUCAGUCAUCAUAAUCCCACCAAAAGCUCAUGGUAUAACCUCAAUUUCAGAUUGUAGUUUUGAACUAAUAUUGGUAAUGCUCGAAAUUUCAAUGACGCUUGAGUCCCUAACUCAACCAAUACUACUAGGAUACUCCAAGUUUGCGUCUUUGAAUUUCAAAGACUCAUAUUAACCACAUUUGUGCGAAAACUGAAACGUCAAUCAUGGCUGAUGGUUAGUGUAGACUUGAGCUCUAAUACUGUAGAUAUCUAUCUGGUAUGCAUUUAUCCACUGGGAUGCAACGACAAAACAAUUAAAGAUGAUCUCCAAUCUCAGAAACUACGAAUUUUUAUUAACUGUAGUUCCUUUCUGAAUUUCCAAAUGUUCCUUUCAAUUUAUUUCAGUCGUUUAUCACUAAGGUUUUUUGGUUCACUAUGUAGAAGUAUCAAAGCUGCAGGUGUUCAACACAUUAAUGUAUGUCUCAUUGGGUCUUUCAAGAGCAUGUCUGUACCCAUUGACAUUAAAACAUGGAAACCUCUUUUAUCAGUUUCAAUAAAAUGAGACUUGCUAUUUAAUGUACAAAAUCCAUUCCAUGGCGAAAUCUUUUUUGAAAACAGGUCGUACUGAGCGGCAUGAUACUCUCCCUAUGCACCUUUCGUGGUUUCGGUGAUGGUGUGGAAAUGAUAAUGGUCCUUUCGCAAGUAAAAUUCUUGUCUACAGGUGUUGGAGAGUGGCCUCUACCAAAUGAUGGUUUACAUAAAAUCCAGUCAUUAAAUUCGACCUCUCUAUUUUUUCGUUCCUACAUAUGUAUAAAAGCUGAAUAACUGGCAUCCAGUGUCUCAUCUAAACAUUUCUACCCUUGUGAAUGUGUUUGAAGUUUUUUUAUGACGUUGGAAGUUCUCUAAAAGUUGCCUAAUUUGAUUAUGGGUAUCAUUUUUAUUACCUGAGUGAGUUUGCAUCACUUUGGAUGUUUGAUAUGUAUUGAAUAACAGAUAUAAGUACUAUUAUAUGGUUGAUAUUGUGGAUUUAUCUAAGGAAAAAUUCACAAAUGAAUAGUGUCAGAAAUCAUUCUUAUUUUAGACUAGACUUUAUCUCCUUUGACAUUACUGUAUUUAAUCUUCUAGUUAUAUUGUUGCAUGGUGUAGGUCUAGUAGCGGAUCCUUCCCAGAUUGAUGGAGGUGAAGAGGAAAAGAGAAGGGGGUCAGUUGAUUUAGGUUUACUGAAGGAUGUGGAGCGUUGGGUUCUUAAUUGUGCUGUGAAAGAAUAUUUAAUGCUUGCUGGUUAUAGACUCACUGCCAUGACAUUUUACGAGGAGGUACCGACCAAAUGAUUUCCCAGCAUCUGUUUCACUCUUUGUAUAGUGGUGGAUGCUGAAUAUUGGGUGGGAUCUUAAAAUGCUAUUAUGUAUGUUUAUAGCUGCUAAAUGUCAGGAUCACCUUGUCGUUUGCAUUGGUGAAAUAGACUUGUGAAUGGAACUUGUGCAAGAUAUGUCAUAAGGGGGACCGACCACCAGUUUAAGUCAAUAAAACCCUUGAACAUGGGAAAUAAACAAUAUCUACCAUUUUGCAAAUGCAGACGUCAAAUGGAGAUCUAACAUUUACAAAGACAUGUUACUGUCUGUUAACAUCCACACAUUCGGAAGUUAAGUGAAGCACCUCCAUGAAAGCCUGAAAUAUUUAAAAUCUGAGGAUUUAGCGUACCUUCACCUUGACAUCACAAAAUUGUCAGUAUCCUGUUGCGUGUAAGAUCUCGUCUUUCAAUUUUCAGCUCUUCCGGAAGGUUUCCCCAAUAACGUCAUGAGGUUACUAUAAUUUAUGGAAGAUUGGAGGCAUAGAGUUUAUAUGUUGUUAACUCAUCAAUUGCUGAGUGUAUCUUUUGCCUGAUAUGACCCAAUCUGAUAACAAGAAAAAGACAUUCUUAUUAAUUAUUUUGAGAAAUUAUCCGAGGGAAAUUAUUUCAUGGAUGAAGUUUCUCGUCGAUGAUAUUCCAUGGCUCUAAAGAGUGUUUUCCCAUUCCUGAUAGGGUUAUCACUAGUUAAUUAUAAAAAAUAUAUGAAGUAUGUGUUGCAUUUUCAUUAUUUUGUGAUCUUUUUAGAAAAGCGAUCAUUGAACCUUUCAAUGCUUCUUGAAUCAUUUAUUAAAUUUCUUGACAAUGAUUGGCGAAUCCCAUUUAUGUAGUAACAUGGCAUCCAGCUCAUCAAAUAUUCGAAAUUAUGUUUAUCAGCCAAUGUGUUUAUAAAACGUCAGAAACAAAAUCAUAAAGAUUUUUGAAUCUUUGUGAAUGCUAAUUGAUAAGUUUUGGAGUUGGCCAAGUGCUUUUCCCAAAAUGUCAUAAUUGCCAAAAUCAGAUCUGCAUACAUUACAACACAAUACAUAUUGAUUAAAGUAUGGAUCUGCUUGCCAAAGAAUUUUUUUCGAUUCUCUCAUUAGACACUAGAAAAUAACUUUUUGGUCAUACUCUUAUUUCUUGUCAGACCAUUUUAUCUAUGUAUGUUGAAGUAACACUAUUUUGUCCAUCAUGGUGGAGUACUUAUCAUGGGAUACACUGCAUCAAUUUCUUGUUUCCUUGUCACAUUUUAAUGAGGAAUGACUUGAAAGAGACUUAUUAAUUGAUUUUUUUGUCUCAUAUUCAUUAAAUGUUGUGAUAUUUGGGGUAUUGAAAGGGAACAUGACCGAGAUUGUUUGACUGGCUGUUGAUUCGCUGAAAGUUUGUAUGAUGUAUGUACACGUCACUACAAACGGUCUAGUUUUUUUUCUUUUAAUGUUCAUCGCCAUGCAUGUUAUGUUCGUAAUCAAAGGCACAGUUUUAUUUGAACCUGUAACAAUGAAAAUGAAAAAAUCUUGAAUCAUAUUUGUUCAUCAUUAAUAUUCUUAUGAAAUGAUGAGGCUCAGUGGAACAAUGAGAAAGAGAAGUUGAAAAAUGAAAUUUCUUAGGUGAAUGUGCACGUAUUGGAUGAAAUUGUGUCGCCAAGAGUUCACAAUUUUCUCUACUAAAUUUAACCCAAGCAAAUGGAAUGGUCUCAACAUGUAUAUAGAACACAAUGUAGAAAAUAAAAACUCCUUAUUGAUAGUUUUUAGUAGACGUGAAGGAAAUGGACUAUUUUUUUUUCUCCUGUGAAGCAAGUUUAUCUUGUUGGUGCUCUGUGAAACGCGUCACUUUUUUUUGCGUAGAUUACUACUAGAACUCGGUUUUGUACCGAAGGUAUGAUGAGAACCUUUCUUCUUCCAACAUAUCAGCAUUUCGGUCAAAGUUGCAGUGACAGUCAUUUUUCUUUUAUCUGCAUUUGCCGAUAUUGAAUUCUGAUGCAGUCACUCAAAACUUUCUGAUAAUUAGUCAAUCGAGAACUUCUUUCACAUUAUUAAAUCAAUACUAAUGUUUAAUUAUUUUUAGAUGUCCCUUGAAUAGCAUAGUAUGAAAACUUGAACCCUUGUGCUGCAGGUUACUGACCAAAACCUUGAUGUCUGGCCAAAAUCCCCAGCUCAUGUGAAUGAUGCUCUGCGUCAUUACUAUUAUCAGUACCUUUCAUCCACUGCAGAUGCUGCUGAGGUAUGUUUUGAAAUAAACUGCUAGAUGGAGAACCUGGCUUGGUCUCUGAGUAGUGAGAAUCCAACUACCUAAGUUGUUUUUCUCAUGCGUUCGUAAUCUAUUAUCUAUUUCAUCCUCAUCCACUAUUCUAUGUAAAGAUAAAUUACAGUUUUCAUGUUGCCUCAUCGAUCUGGACAACAGACAAUUAAGUAACAAGGUUAUUAUAUUUGUCAAUGUGAACAUGUCAAAUUAUCUGUAUAAUGCUUAGAAAGGAAUUAUCGAUGGUUUUGUUGAGUUAUAGAACUUUCAUCGGAACUGGAUGCAAAGACAAUCAAAGGAACGUACACUUGUAUUCCUGAUAACAUUUAGUCGAAAAAUAUGAUAAGACAGAGUUAAGGGAGAGGUAUCUCAUACUUUAUUAGUCUUAGUUGUAAAAAUGGACAGGGCAAGCCUGUUGUCCUGAGCGGUCUGAGGGGUAUGACAGCCAAUAUUAGGAUGAAUUGCUAAACAAAUGUAUCAUGCAAGGGCUGAAACUUUUGUCCCGUUUAGUAAAGGUGUUGGGCGUGGUAUGUUGUUUUGGUUCAGGUAGCCUGCUCGGUAGAACCUAUCUGUGACAUUCUUUUAAAUCUGUUCUCUCAUUUAAAUCUAAAUUAUGCUAGCAGAUCCUUCAAUGUUGUGAAGAAAUGUUCUUGCAUUAGGUAGGCUACCGAGUCCGAGUUCCUGUUAUAUUAACUUCUAGUUAGUUUUAUGUAAUCGUUAAACUUAUUUCUUCUAUUUCUACUCAAUAAAGAAAUUCAUGUUAUGUUAUUUUGUUAAGUCGGAUUCCAUCUGCUGUGGUGCAUGUUUUCAAUAAAUCUUAGCAUAGAAUGUGAUGCUAGAUAAGAUUGGUCCAAAAUCUCAUCCACAAUUAUUUUGGGGUGGAAACUGUGCUCACUCAUUUAAUGUGCAACAGCAAGUGCUCCAUUCAUUUACAGGAAAGUUUUUCUUUUGUGGUAUCGUCAUUGGUUUUAUAUUGCCCAAGGUAUGAAAUUCUUCAGAUAUUUAUUUUAUUUUGCUGAUGUUUGGUUCCAGGAGAAGAUUUCCAUUCUUCGAGAUAGGGAUAAGUUGCUGGCAGAAACUGAACGUCUCACAAGUGAAAAGGAGUCUUUGGAGAAAAGUAGGGACUUGGCCAACAACCGCUUAGCAUCACUGACAAAAUUGCUGGAAACAACACAGAAGGAAGUUAAAGAGAGGGAAAUCAUGGUAUAUUUACAUAUUGUUACUUUGCUUUAUCACCUUUUUCAUUGUGCUUAUUGAGCCUCCUGUUUUAAGGUACAUGAUUUAAAGCAGUCACUAGAGCUUCAGAGGAAGGAACUCAAUGAUUGCAGGGCUGAAAUCACUUCACUCAAAAUGUACAUUGAAAGUUCUCGAGCUAGUCACGGCUGGGUUAGUGAGAAAACUGAACAUAUGCAAUCUCGGAAUAUUGACAACCCUGUAGAAGACAAAUCUAACCAGAAACAAGCAGAAAGUUCUAAGAGAGACUGCAUUCCUGAUAAUCCUAUGAGCUCUAUGGAUUCUUUUAGUGAAGAUAUGACUGCAGAGAAUAAAACCAUCAGAACAGAAGAAGAUUCUUCUCAUCCAAUGGAUUCAGUUUUUGGGAACUCAAAUGUUGCAUACCCGACUCAUUUGAGUGACCCAAUUAAGUCUACCACUGUUACUUCUGAGCCAUCUAUAAGUUCUUGCAAUGGUGUGCUUUCCGUUGAAAGCAAUCACAGAAGCUAUGAUAACAAUUCUAUUCCAUCACCAGAUAAUUCCUCAGGGCGAACAGCUUCUGAAAAGACUGUGAGGACCUUUUACUUUCCUUAUUACCAUAAACAUUUUACAAGGAUUAAUAUUUCUUAUUUGAGACAUUCUUAAACUCGCAUUGAAGUCGGUAUUCUUCAUUUCAGGGUCUGGAAGCUAUUCACAUACUUGCAGAUGCUUUACCUAAGAUUGUUCCAUAUGUUCUUAUCAAUCACCGUGAGGUUCUGAUUUCAAAAUCUGAUAGUAUUUUUGCAGUUCAUUCUUAGAAGGAUUAAUGCUCUAUUAAUUUUAUGGUCAAUUGUCGAACAGGAACUUCUUCCUCUAAUGAUUUGUGCAAUUGAACGUCAUCCAGAAAGUAGUGUCCGGGAUUUACUAACACAUACACUAUUUAACCUCAUCAAACGACCUGAUGAACAGCAGAGACGAAUUAUUAUGGAUGUAAGUUAUGUCAAUUGUUACAAAUUUCUGCAAAUUAGCAUUUGCUUUGCAUAUUUUUUAUUCCUUACAUAAAAUUACUUUCACUUCUUUCAUGAAAUAAUGAAAAUUCUUGAUCCAUCUCUUUUGAUUUUUAGGCCUGUGUUAUAUUAGCAAAGAAUGUAGGUGAGAUGAGAACUGAAACGGAAUUACUUCCUCAAUGUUGGGAGCAGGUGCAAGGCAAUUUUUUCUGUUUGCUUACUUUCUUUUUCUGACACUAAUGAUCCAGCUUGUUCAAGUCUGUUGACACCUUGACCUUUUAUUCUCUUGAACGCAGAUCAAUCACACUUAUGAGGAGCGUCGGCUUCUUGUUGCACAGUCUUGUGGAGAGCUUGCUGAGUUUGUGCGCCCAGAAAUUCGAGACUCCCUAAUUUUAUCGAUUGUGCAACAACUGGUGGAAGACCCUGCUGGAGUUGUUCGACAAGCUGCUGCUCAUAACCUGGCAUUGCUUCUUCCAUGCUUCCCAAAUGUGGACAAAUAUUUCAAGGUCAGCCUCACUAUUGCUCGAGGCAGUCCUGGAGCAGAAAAUUGACCUCACAAAAUUUGCUAAAAUGUAAGCUCUAGAGCAGGCAAUAUCACAGCCCCAGGAAAAAAAUGGGUUUGGGGGUUAUUCCCUGAUGUAUAACAAGUUGAAUGUUUUACGUAAAAAGUUCUAAUGUUACUUUUUUUGCUUUGUUAUAUAGGUUGAGGAGCUGAUGUUUCAGUUGGUCUGUGAUCCAUCAGGACUGGUAGUUGAGACAUGUCUCAAGGAGCUCGUUCCUUCCGUCAUUAAUUGGGGAAAGAACGUGGAUCACAUUGUACGGAUUUUGCUUUCUCAUCUCCUGGGCUCUGCUGAGGUGUGAUUUGAUCUUUUGCCCUUUUGCAAUUAAAUUUCAUAUUUACGUUCUCACAUAAAAGUGCUUCGCAGAGGUGUCCACCACUGUCAGGGGUUGAAGCUUCAGUGGACUCUCAUUUUCGUUUUCUAGGUGAACGUGAACGCUGGAAUAUUGAAGUUUUACUGCGCAUGUUGACUGAGGUUCUCCCUUUCAUUUAUGAGAAAGCAGUCAAAUCUUGCCCUUUUACGUCAUUUGUUGAGUCACUUUCCAGCUCUGAGCCAGAUAAAAUCUUUUUCUCUUACUCCUUGCUCGAGUUAUAUGCAGGGUGAGUCCUCGUUAUCAUUUUGGAAAGGAUCCAUAAUUUUCUUCCAACUGAAAUGGAGGUUCUACUGUUCUGAAGUUGUUUUCAAUUUGUACUUGUAGGGGGCAUGCUGACUGGCCCUUGUUUGAUUGGUUGCAUGCUGACUGUGUUCCUGAUUUAAUUCGAUUAUCAUGCUUCCUGCCUACAAGAGAAGACCGUCUCAGAGUUCAUAUGAGGAAGGUAAAUAUUUCUAUGCAGUGCUGAAACGUUUUCUACUCCAUCGUAUCUGCUUCUUCGAAAUUAGGAAUAUCAAAGGUGGGUAGAGAGGCUACGUUAAUAGGAUAGGGAAUGAUGAGUCUCUGAAAUCCUUGGACAUUUGACAUUGUGGAGAUAUAAUAAAUCAUAUGGCAGUCCCUGCUUUCAUAGUAAACCUUGGGGGUUGAAAACUCUUAAGCUUUUUGUUGCAGUUCCUUCUGGCUGUAUCUGAGAACUUUGGAGAUCAAUAUGUUAUACAUAUGCUGCUCCCUGUUUUCUUGGAAGCAAUGGGGGAUCAUGCUGAUCUCACUCUUUUCCCCAGCAGUAUACAGUCCAGAAUAAAAGGUAUGUCCCAUCCAUCUAUGGCAAUCUUAAUUGGUUCCAUGUGUCAUCAUGAUGGCCAAUAUCAAUAUAUUCUUUUCAACUUACUGUUUUUGAGGCUUUGGUGUCCAAUUUUAUUGAAUUUUAGCAAUUUUUCUUGCCAGUUCUCAUACUGCUUUCAACACAAUCGACCUCACCACGUAAAUUUUUGGAAUCUGCAUAUACUAUGGACCAUUGUGUGUCAAAAAAUGGAAAUUAUAUUGAAGUUCAUUCUAGCACAAGACAAAUGCUAUUUUGUUUAUCAUCUAGGCUUCUAGUUGCGAGUGGAAGGCAUUCCUAGCUGCUGGAAUAAAAUAACGAAUAGUAAUUUUUCUGCUUGCAGAUCUGCGGCCUAAAACAGCUGCCUCUGAAAGACUUUCAGUUUUGUGCGUCCUUCCGCUUAUGUUAGGUGGCGUUUUUGGUGUCCCAAGUAGACAUGAACAACUUGCACAGUACUUGAGAAAGCUACUAGUUCAAAACACAAUUGAAGGGAGUUCUUGGUCCUUAUACCACACUACAGACUUAAUUGAUGGUGUUCGUUUCCUCUGGUUGGUGCUUAUAUUUCUUUUGCACAUUGAUGCUGUUGUCUAUUGCGGGGUUUUCAUUUGUUUUGUUCUCUGAUGCAGCAUGUUUACUGAGCAUCAUGCCAUCAUCUUUAAUAUUCUUUGGGAAAUGGUUGUCAGCUCUAAUACAAAUAUGAAGAUUAGUGCUGUAUAUUUGCUGAAAAUCCUGGUUUGUUAUGUAUCUCUCAAUUCAUAACUGUUUCCAGGCUUUUCAAAAUGCCUCUUUAUUGAUAUAUCUCUAAUUUUUAAAACUAUAGGUUCCAUAUGUUGAUGUAAAAGUUGCUUCAACUCAUGUUUUGCCUGCUCUGGUUACUCUUGGUUCUGACCAAGAUAUUAACGUCAAGUAUGCAAGCAUCGAUGCAUUUGGAGUUGUUGCUCAGCAUUUCAAAAGUGACAUGGUAAGCUUUGUUUUAGAUUUUUUAUUCUUUAUAUGUGACAGUUUUUCUGUGAUCUCUAGACCUCCUUUUAACUCUGCUAGGGUUUCUUAGAGAAGAAGUCAGCUCAACGCUGUUGUAAGACCUCGUUCUUCAAGAUAGAGACAUUGCCCUACUUAAGUAGGUUCUUACAUGGAGAGGCCUAAAUGCUUAAUGGGUAUUAAGACCCAUUACCACCAGGCUAACGGAUCCUCACUUAAAUGUAACAGGGAUAUGAACAUUAGGAAAGAGAUAACGUCAUCUUCUAACAAUAUGAUUAAAGUAACGACACAUUUAAAACCAAAUGCAUGACUAUAAUCAAAAUAUCUUAUUCCAAUUCCAGUCAGGUUCAAAUGGGUUACACUGAUUCGGGGCUUCUUAUGCUCAUGUGUGUAUAAGUGCUUAAAUGCCUGUUUAUACUCUGAUUCAGGGGCCUCUUAUAGCGCAUAAAUGCCUCUUUAUACUCGUCUAUGUAUACUCAUGUAGAUAGAUUAAUGACAAUGAUAAAAGUAAAUGAUUCCAGUCAUAGAUGAAUGUGCGUUUUUAGAAUGUUAAUUAAUUAAAUCUUAUUGUUGUAAAAACAGAAAAAAAUAGUCCUGCACCAAUUAGACUUGUGUAUAGAGUUCGCUGGCAUGAGGUUGCUUUAUAUUCAAUUAAGACAUCUUAAUUAGAUUAUUUUUUUGAGUAUUGAUAUUGUUGUUGAAGCAAUUGAAAAUGAACAACUUCAUGUUCCCCCUUAGACACUGAUUUUUAGAGGCCAUAUGCUCAGCUACCAAUAUUUGUAUUACAUUCAUUAUUUAGGUUUAAUCAUUAUUAUUAUUUGAAUAAACAUUAAAUUUCAAUUUUUUAUAUCAUCUAUGUAAACAUUUUUUCUUGUUUAAAUAUUUUGAAUAUGAUACAUGGAAUUAUCCUCUUUGUCAAAAAUUCAAACUUACUAUAUUUUUUUAAAGCAUUCUGGAACAUUUAUUCUUAAUCAAUACAAGCCACCUCACAUCACACCUCAUAUAGUUGCUUCAAAGUUGACCACUACCUUGGGCACCUAAGAUAAAAAUGGCUGCUUUGAUGACGAACUGUACAACCUCUGGAUGGUUUUGAAGUUCAACUGGUCUUUGUCUGAAUUUGUUCAGUUGUAGGUCAGAAUUGAAGCUCAUUCUUUAUGUUAGACUAACUUGACCCUUCUUUCAGAUUGUAGAAAAGAUACGCAUUCAGAUGGAUGCCUUCCUUGAAGAUGGAUCUCAUGAAGCAACAAUUGCUGUUGUCCGUGCAUUGGCGCUUGCUGUACCACAUACGACAGAGAAAUUGCAAGACUAUAUCCCUCAUUAUUUUACUGUCAAUUCAUCGCGUUACUUUAUCUGGCCUUUAGGAUUCAUGAUAGAUAAUGACAUGUGCUUAUCUGAAUAGGCAUAAUUUUUUGUACACUUGACAUAGAAAGAAAAAGAUUUGGGGUCAUACCUAUGCCAGUACUACUUGGGCUGUUUUUUUUUUAUUUCAUUGCGUGUAUAUUGACACGGGGAGUAUGCAGGCAUGCUUGUCUUCAGUGUCUAUGCACUUUUUUCCUUUCAUUCUUUGUUUCUUUGACGUAUGACACAUCUCUUGUCGAAGAUAUUCCAGCUUACAAAUUCGCCAGUCCAGGGAAAUCUUUUGACGCAUCGGUGUGAGAGAGCAAACGCAUUUUGUGAGUCACUUCGUGCUCUGGAUGCUACAGGUUAGUUAUGAACAUUAACCCAAUCUUUUAUAUAAACCCAAUCAUGUCUUAUUACAGUUGCGAGAGAUUAUUCAAAUUAGGCAUUUUAUAUGUUUGUGUUUGUUCUAUAGCCGCUAUUCUGUCAUAUGGUGGAAUACAUGGAUUGCUAACAUUAAUAUAUGGGUGCGGCCCUGAUAUUCAGGAAAUUGUCAACGAAGGCAUUUUUCAUCCUUCUCACUUUGAGCGUUUUCAGUUCGAAAAUCUUUAUGCGGGAUGAGGAAGCAAAAGGGGACGAAGGAAAGGAAGAGGAAUAAAUAAAAAAUUGAACAGAGUAGGACAUAACUUUCAAGGAAUGUUUUUUUUCUCCAGGGCACAAAUUCUGCUCUUUUUCCGCUUUUUCUGUGUUUGAAAAACUUUAUUUCAUUAAUGAUACACACUAAUACAGAGAGUAAAAUUUUCUAUACCCUCAUCUUAUAAGAUGUCAAGAAAGGUGAGGGCAAAAUUCCAAGGCAGAAUCACGAGGCCUUAUUUGUAUAAUACAUAUAUUUAUGCAGUCCACCUAAACUCUGGAAAUGCCUGGGAGGCCAAGAGUAUCUCUGCACUUUCAGAGAGUCAGGAACUGCUAUAGGGUUUGUUGCAGUUUCCCAAUCCAUCAUGAGAUAUUUUAGUUCUACACUUCUUUCCUUGAAAUUCUUCUGAAAUGUUGAGGGAGUUCAUUGUUUCGCUAAUUCUAACCUGUUGUGUGUUGUGAAAAAGAUGAUGGAUUUUGAGGGAGAAAUUUCAUUUACAACGGGUGUCGUUUUUAUCUGGUUUAUAUGAUCUCACUUAACGAACUUCCUACGCUGCCCCAACUCUUCAAAGCCAUUUUAUAAAAUAUCAAAGUUUAACCAGGCUCACUCUUGUAUUUCUCCAAAUCUUAUAUCUCGUUAGCAGAUUCAUUCCGUUUCUAGUUUUAUCACGUUGCCUUUGUUCAGUUCUGGGAGAGCUCCCCUCAGCGCACCAAAGGAGCUUCUUUCCCGGCAGUUUGGAGAUCAAGAGAAGCAUAUGUAUCAUGAUUCUAUCGAAUGCUUUUGUAUUGGAAGAAAUGUGAAACUUCUGACCAGUGGAGCGGAGUUACAUAACUUCUAUAAACUUGACUGGCGGAUUUGAACAGGGCCUGUCUGGGGUAAAUGACCCAUCAAUUAGAGGAGGAAAGAAUGGAAGAUUGACUGAUCCUAGUGUGCUCGAGGGAAGUUUGACGCGAUUACCAAUGUUGAGUAAAUAUUAGGAGAAGCCAGACGGAAUGAGGAAUUCACUGCAUUCAUUGCAGCAGUGGCUCCUGUUAACACCUUCUUGGACUUGCAACGACGAGUUCACAUCAGUUGUCAUCAGGUUGUGCGUAGAAGAAUUAGUGGACAACUCUUAAUGCACCAUCAUUUGUUGUUUUUCAGUUCGUUUGAAAGAUAAAACUGAACAGCUUUGCUCCCACUGAAUUCAGCCGGCCACGUUUGGCCACUCUUAAUUCAGAUCGGAAAGGAUUGCGUCUGCUGAGUGGUAGGAUCAUUACCAAUGCUAGAUGCCGAUUGUUCCCCACACCUGUGUCAGAUGAUAUGCAUUUUUCAUUGAAAACGAGCUAUGCCAACAGAAGGAGCGUAUCUUAGAGUUGAGUGGCGUUGAAUGGCAGCAGAGGGCUAUCAGGAGUUUCUUUGGGAGAGUAUAGUCAUAAGCUAUGGUCUGCAUAAUCAUCCACGUCUAGAUCAUAAUAGAUUUGAGAAAAUUGGGUCAUGAACUGUUACAAUGAGGUGCCAUAGACUAAUGAAAAAUGAUGGUGUUGAUAGUUGAGAAGAAGGCAUUUUACUUGAUGAGAAACUGGAGCAUUACAGGAAAGUUUUCGCAGCAGAAUGGGGAAUCAUAGCUUCUGUUAAUGACUGAUGAGUGCAUUAAAAGUCAAUUGGAAGUUAGCUGAAAAAGGGGGAAGGAGGCAAGAGUGGGGGAAAAGCUUAUAGCUUCAUAAAUGAGAAAAUAAGACUUUUGGUUAAACAUAUGGUACCAAAGCUUCAAGGGAUGCGGAUCUGUUGUGCCUCUUUAAAUCGUACCAAAUUACCGAAAACAUCAUUAGGUAGAUCACUCGUCAGGGGCAGCCAAGUCUCACCGAGGAAGUAAAAACGGAUGAUAAUCGAAUCGAAGAAGACGACAGCUUGGAGUAGAUAGUGUAGUUUUAUUCCAAAACCCAUCCUGGGGCUCUAUUCUAAACUCCUCUCACUUGACGACAUCUGGAGACUUUCACUAGAAAUUGUGUUAACCGCUUCAUCUAGUGAGAAGCCUAGUGAAGCUUUUCAAUUCAUCUAGUGUUCCCUUUUGAUGAGGUGAGGGCUACUCGCUUUACUUUGUUGGAAGACGAGCUCACUCAGAUGGUUUCUCGCCUAUUUUAUUUCAAGGAUUCAGGGACAUUGUGAAGGAACACGUUGCAGAACUUUGUCAGAAUUCUCCAUAGGUAAGGCUCACUUUCAGAAACUACUUUGGUGUUGUUGAUCCUGAAGAAAGAAGGCUUACAGAAACUUCUUGACAGCAACAUAGGGUUAGCCCUUGUCUUUUUUUUAGGUGCCUUGCAUUUUUGGCUUCAGCGAUCUGGGAAUGCUAAAAUAUUUAUGCUGGUCAUGAUCUUGGAAUGCAAAUAGAACUGGUAAAGUUACGAAAAGCUUUUUACUUUGUUAUAAUAGGAUGUGAUAAACGUCAAAAAGUAAGUAAUAAAAAAAAAAAGGUAAAGAAAGGAUCUUGAUUGCUGGUACUGUACCGAAAUAUUUUGAUAGGAAUUAAAUAUAGCAUCUCACCACCUUGCGAAAAUAAAGAGCGAAUGUAGUGGUCCAAAUAAACCAAGGAAAAGUUUCACCUUUGUUUUGACGGCAUCCAUUUACAGGCGAUCGUUUGGAAAAUGUGCUCUGUUGUGCGGUGAUUGACGCUGGGGAAUAUGAUGUAUGUUCCUUAUUUCUUCACUAUCCGAGGCAUUUGGCUGAGAAUCUGGGGGGCAUUCUGAUUUGCUGUUCUCACCUAUGCUUCGUCUUCUGCUGAUCUGCCUCCACAUGCUUCGAUUCGAUUUGAGCCCAGAACCCACAGCCCAGCAUCUCUAAAUUCUUAUGCAGUCUGAGAAUUCCCCAUGUUCUUCUUCUUCUCCAUGGCUUUCCCAUUCGCUAGGUUGUGUGUCUUAAGGUUGCCAGACCGUGGUAAAACCCUCUGGAUGACUCUAACAGCAGCACUUUCCUGGUAACGAGAAAGGCCGAGCUACUUCGUUUCCAUUCUUCUUCCCCACGGAUUUUCCGAAUUCGCCAGAUUAUGUGUUCAUCGGGAGAAUCAUAGAACAGCGUAAUCAUCCGUAUCGCUCUGGCGGCAGCAGCAACUUCCUGGUGAAGACAGGAUGAUGAGGCUUCCUUCCGUGAAUCAUAUUUCUGUGAUUCGGCCUAGAUUGCUCGGAUGGGUCAACCAGUGAGACAGACUGCAGAUUUUAUGGAUCUCUGAUGAAAUCCGCGUGGCGGCACUGACCCUGCUGCUGUUUUCUCGUGCAGAUCUUCCCUCCACCAGCGUCCGAGAGCUCCUGCUGCCGGCCAUACAGAACCUGCUCAAGGACCCGGAGGCGCUGGACCCGGCGCACAAGGAGGCCCUGGAGGUGAUCGUCAGGGAGAGGUCCGGGGGGACCCUGGAAGCCAUCAGCAAAGCGAUGGGCGCUCAUCUCGGCAUCGCCUCCUCGGUCAGCAGCUUCUUCGGCGAGGGCGGGCUACUGGGGAAGAAGGACGCCGGCGAGGCCCACGACGGCGCCGUCUCGCCGCAGGCGGCGGCGCCGCUGCCGCCCGUCGCCCAGGAGGACACGAGGUUCCGGAGGAUCAUGAGGGGCAACUUCGGGGACAUGCUGCGACCCAAGCCCAAGAGCCAAGACGAGGCGCCUCAGGGUUAGUCCCCUGCCACCUUCCACUUCGGUUUCUACACAUUCUCAAGACACUUCCUUUCCAAGUGCUCCCUUCCCUUUUCUGUUGAUCGAGAGAGAGAGAGAGAGAGAGAGAUGAGGUGGGUGGUGGCAUCGACAUGAGAGGAGAAAUGGGCAAUGGGUUCCGAGCACAGGGACGUAGCUUCUCAUUCUAGCAUGAUUUUGAAGCCCUCUCCAGGCGAAAUCAUGUUGGGUCUGGGUGGGUGAAGCCAGCCCACUCUAGUCUCUGCUAUUGAUGUUGAAUGAUCAUGCUGAGUUCAUCCGGUUGAAGAAACCCAUGAGGAUCAGCAUCGCAUUAGACUUAGAACAGUGAUUAUGAAUGCAGAAGCCAUUCCAUCAUGAUGUAAGAAAAUCGUAUGCUUUUAUGCAGAGGGUAGAUUUUGAGUGCUGGUCAUAGGAACCGUCACUACUACAGAUAUCAAAUACAAUUGAGCUUUUGCCUUCACUUAUGUUUUUUAUGUAAAAAACGUGUGAUUAUUCAUCAUAUAAAAUAUGAUUUAUGCUCUCUGGUAAAAACUCAUUUUUUGGCUUGCUCUAAAAGCGUAGUACUGAACCCUAGCAACUCGGCUGUCAUUGAUCCUCCAAGAGGAGAAUUGGUUUCCGUGAUCCAUUGUUUGUUUAGCGAAAGAACAUUGUUUAUCUAUUCUUGAAAAUAGCUACCAACUUCCUUUAGUAGAGGGUUGUUGGAGCAUUCUACAAAAGGAUAUUCCACAGCAGAGAUAGUACCCUAUGAAGAGCUGGUUCCUAAUUAUUCAAGGCUAAGGUGUCCUCAGAAGAGCUGCUAAGGGCUUCUACAAUGGCCUUGGCCGUAUUGAAUAAUAUGGAGCAAUUCAUUACUACUUGGCUUCGAGCUGCAGAGAGAACCUUUGACCUCUUGAGCUGAUUUGAUGGUUGAUGUUUUCCAAUUGAAAUUCAUAACUGUCCUUGAAAAAUCUUUCUAAAAAAUAAUGGUUCCUAGAUAGCAUUUGAAAUUACUAAAAAAUAUUACAAUAUGUAUGAUGGUUUUAUCAAUGUUGAUGGUUUUGUUGUAUGAAGCUGAUGGUAGCUAUCUUAUUGUUCAUUUUAUUUAGAAAAUAAAAUCAAAAUAUAGUCUUAUAAACUACCUGUUGGGUGUUCCUAGAUAAUCAUUAG
rnacentral:lncRNA from 1 species